rnacentral:lncRNA from 1 species
UCCGUUGGCGCAAAUCAAUCCAGGAGAGGACGAGGUAGCUGCAGCAAAUCAAGGUGGUCAGAUGCAGCCGGCGGACGGCACGGUGGGGCAGCAGAACGGGGCACCGGAUGGAUCGCAGAUGCCGUCCGCGGCUAGUGGCGUUGUUGGAUCUCAGCUCCGCGCGGGGGAUGUUGGUCGGCGUCAGGCAUCCUUCACUCUCGAUGCUGCAUCUAUCAAUCUGGUGGUGUCUGUUGGGAAUAUGGCCAUCUGCCUCGCCAUCCUUGUACUGGUAGUGUCUUCCACCAUGAUGCGUGCGUUUGAUUAAUUGGAUGAAUCUAAGAAGCGUAUGCGUAUGUAGUAGAUGAUCUAUGUCAGGGGUUAAUUAGUGUUAGCAUCGUACGUGGGAGAAGGACUCUGAGACUCGUGGAGCUUUUGGAUGUAUGUUUGGUUCAGUGGAUGCCUAGUGCUAAUGAAAUUUUGGUUUCGAGCUAAUCAUGAACAGUCAAUGACGGUAGUAGUUGCUAUUUCUUGAUUUUUAAAACACCUGCGUGCUGAACGCCUCGCAUGUUGCCCACGUGGCAGGGGUGGGUGGUGGUUGGGUAAGUGAUGUACCGCGAUCCAUCAAAUGUACCGAUGGUACGGUUUCAACCUCCGUCCGUUACCGCACGCCGUACGCGAGCUGGCCAUAUGUAUCAACAGUACCGUACAUUAGUGUGUACGGUCCGCUCCAGAGGCCCACCCACGCGGUAUCGCUCUAUUGGUCCACCUAGCGGGAGCGCGCGCGCCCGACUCGCUAUCGCCGCGCUCUCCAAGAGUCCGGUUUAAGACUUAUGCGUGUCUACGAGUUUAGACUGAGUCCAAGUCGGUUAUUGAUAGCUUAGGGCUGGCCGACGUGUAUAUACAGAUACACAGGGCCUGCAACUUUGUAUCACUAUGGAGAAAAGGAGAAAUAAAGAAAAAGAAUAAGGCACGACAGGUGCCUUUGGCAAAAGUUUUCGUGUGCGCGUGUUCAUCUUGAUUUGAUGUGAUCGAUCCUGUGGGUAGAAUUCCAACAAUUGGUAUCAGAGCAAGGUUCAGGAAUCGAGCGUUUGCCCCGGGGUUGCGACCUAACUAGCGCCUCGGGGCGGGCGAUAUGGUCGCUGGGUGGUGCAGCGACGAGAAGGAGCGGGCGAUAUGGUCGCUGGGUGGUGCAGCGACGAGGACGUGCAGACCGUGGAGUCGUUGGGUGAUGCAGCGACGAGGAGGAUUGGGCGAUCGUCGUUCGGCGGAGCGACAAGGGGGGAGACGGCAGGCUGUCGUUGGCAAGGCGCUGGAAGCAGAUCGUUGACGGGAGCAGUGGUGCCGAGGUGCGGUACUGAAAGAGUCGUCAAGAUCGUCGUCCGCGGGGAUAGAUGAGUUGAAGAGUCGUGCAAGUUAUGUGAUUGGUCGUCGUUGUGUCAGUGAGUCGUCGUCCUCGUCGUCAUGUCCAACUGCUUGUCUAUGUGAGGAUUGUUGAAGAUGAAGCAUGUCAUGUUCGAUGGGCUGUCUGGUGUGGUGUGUAGCACCAAGGGCGAAGACGUGAAGUGGAGAUCAAGCUCAGGCGUAUAGAGGGACGAGGACCAGUGAAGGGGAGCUUCUUCAACGAGGACAUGUCUGUACAUGGGACGGUGUGUGAUCUGUUGGCAUGUAUUACGUUAGGGGUGACCGAUGGUGUUGCCUGGCAGCGUGACUGGGAGUCUGGAUCAUACGUUCAGGAGGAUCAUCAAGUCGCGGGUCUACAACAAGUCAAGAUCAGAAGGAGUACGAGGAAGAUGACAAGUCAAGAUUAGAGGAAGAUUGUUAGCAAUAAUCUUGAUUAGGUUGAUGAUCGCUAGUUAAUUGAGGUACGUGUGCAUGUUGUACAUGCACGUGAAGUGUCAUAGUAGUAUACGAUGUAGUAGGCUGCCGUGUAAUAUAGUAUAUUAGUAGUACGUAUUGGAGUCAACUUCGUGUACUAGUAGGAGCCCAAGAGUCCGGUUUAAGACUUAUGCGUGUCUACGAGUUUAGACUGAGUCCAAGUCAGUUAUUGUUAGCUUUGGGGCUGGCCGAGGUGUAUAUAUAGAUACACAGGGCCUGCAACUUUGUAUCAUUGUGGAGAAAAGGAGAAAUAAAGAAAAAGAAUAAGGCAUGACAGGUGCCUUUGGCAAAAGUUUUCGUGUGCGCGUGUUCGUCUUGAUUUGAUGUGAUCGAUCCUGUGGGUAGAAUUUCAACAACCGUUACACAUAUUUAGGGUUCCUAGGUCAAGUCGCUUUGCUUGUAGAUAAAGAUAUGCUGCUUUUAUCGCUGGAAUGCAGCCCAACUUUGCUGAAUAUAGGGUUGGGAUCUUAAAUGAAGGGUCACUAGUAAACUUCUCAACAAACACGCGCUCAGUCCUGGGCACAGUUUCAUUAAUCAAUCAAUUCAAGUGUUAUACACCUUUGAACUCUUGUGCCUCCAGUGGAAUUUAAGACACUAAAUAAAUGGUUUAAUUCACAUAAAUGCCAAAAAAAAUCAUACAUUUAAAACUAGAGAACAACUUCUUCAGGUAAAGAGCCUCAGUGCUCUGUUUUGAGUUUGACCGCUAUAUUUCAAUCAAGAAUUAUAUGACGAGUAAGAAAACAGUUCCUUUCUCUGGUGAUUGGUACCAUGUUUUGUCGUCAUAUAAACAUUCUGAGUUCAGCUCACAUCUAGUUAAAACAAGUAUCUUUCGAUAAAAAAAUGGAAAGUACAUAAUAUUUUAUAAGAACUUCAUGAAAGGGUAGUUAUUUAAUUUGAUUAUGUUGUAUUAAAGACUAAAUAUCUUCAUCCUUACAUAUAUUACAAGUUCUGGUGUGCAGUGGCGAAGCAUGAAACAAAACCAAGAACGGCCCAAGGCGGGGCAUCUUUUCUUAUUGGGAUAAAUCCAGAACAAAUUCUCAAAGAAAGUCCAGAAAAAACAUGGGUCAUGGCCAUGUUUUGUCCCCAAAAGGAUCCGCCCCUGGUGGUGUGGACACCUGAUUAGCGAAGGCCAGAGCCUUCUGGAAAAGCAUGAAUCUGUUCCUUCACAAAUUGAGCACAAUCAAAACAGGGUUGCUCAUAAUCUAGCUAAUUUUGGUCAUCUGAUGGUAGCACCGCUGUUGGUUGCACCGCACACUGUGCUUUGGAAUUUGUCUGAGUUGACUGUAAUCCUAUUUCAGUGGGAUAAAACCUCACUAUUUCCUUGGCAGAAAAAAGGAAAGAGGCACAUGAGGAGAGUCCAUAAGGAAUAAGAAGGUUACGUAGUCACAUGCCUGUGGGCCAUCUAUCUAUUAAUUAUCACUCCCUCCAUUUCUUUAUAUAAGGUGUAUUUCUUUCCUUUUUAAGUCAAAUAAGUGCAUGUUUGACCGAGUUUUUAGGAAAAUAUAUCAAUAUCCAGAAUACAAAAUUUAUAUCCUCUGAACCAUCAUGAAAAGUUGUUUCAUAUUUUAUAGGUAUUGGAAAUGUUGAUGUUUUCUCAAUAACAAAUUCAAAAUAUAAUAUGAGUUUCAAAUUCGUUUCCAAAUUUCAAAAAAAAAUCAUGAAUUCAAAAAAUGUUUGCUUAAUGAAAAAUGGUCAUCUAUUUAAAAAAAUCAAGUAUUUGAAAUUUUUUCAUUAGUUUUAAAAAAUCUAUUUGAUUUGCAAAAAGUGUUCCCUAAUUCAAAAUAAUGGUUUUCGAUUCAAAAUUUAUUCAUGAAUUUCAGAAAGAUGUUUUUCGAUUCAAAAAGUGUUCAUGAAUUGAAAGAAAUGUUCAUGAAUUAUAUAUAUUUUUUAAUUUGAAAAAAGUUUGAGAAUUUAAGAAAUAUUGACUAAUUCCAAAAUUAUUCAUGAAUUAAAAAACUGUUAUUCAAUUUUGUCAAAUGCUCGCAAAUGGUUUUUGAAAUCAUGAAUACAAAAAGUUUCAUGGAUUCAUGAAAGUUCGUGCAAUUGAGAAAGUACAUGAAUUUUGAAAAAGUACUAAAUCUUAUAUUGUGUUCAUGGAUGUAAGAACUUCUGAAUUCAAAAAAUAUUGGUGAAUUAUUAGAAAAGAAAAAUAUGAAAAGGAAAAAUGAAAGAAAAAUGAAAAAGACAGAACAAAACAAAGAUAAUAUAAACAGAGAAAAAACGAGAUAGUCACAGUCGAAGCCCGUAUGUUGGCCGGCCCAUGCAACGUCACAAGUACGCAAGAGCUACACGUUUCCACGGUAUUCAUUGCGGUACGCAGGAACUAGGAACGGCAGACCAGGGUAUAUCUCACAAAUAAGAGUGAUUUAGCUCUGACAGGCCACAUCUCCUCAUGGCCAGGCAGGGCAACCCAUGUAGUGGCAGAGGAGCUCGUGAUGCUUCGCUCGGCGACUGGCAGCUCGUUGUAGAUGUUGCUGUGAUGUGGUUCCGAACAAAAUUCGCGUCUUUCUCUGGCGUCUUCCUCGCGAGUCCAUACUGAUAGGCGAGCUACUCCACCACCGCAACAUGCCAGCGUCGCCAGCGUGCCCCCUGUGGUGGUGCUGACUCGUGGCGGCACGCUUUGCUUGAUUGCGUGAUGUACGUACUGCAGUGUGUGGGCGCUUUCUUGGGAGCUAGUGGGGAAAAUGUGCCUGGACAGGAACCCGAAGGCCUCUAUGAAAGAUGAAUUUAUGCUGCCUCAGAUUGCAAGAUUGUCAUCCAUGAUAUCAAGCAUAAGCGUGUGGCAGUUUAUGGCGCGACUAUCUAACAAAUCUUAGAUCUUUCUAGUCUUUCUACUAGUUGCUCUUUUAUUCAUGAAUUAACGAGGUCGAAUAUGCUCACAAUUUAGCGAUGCAUACUCUGUAGGUUGGCUGCCAUGUUGGUUAGGUAACUCUGAUGAACUUACUUUCGUCGCGGUAAAUAUUGUGAUGUGUUAUUUAAAGGCUCCGUGAGAUUGUCUAUAAAAAGAUAAGGAGUUGGUGGUACGCAUGUGACCUGGAUAUAGGCAUGCUAAAAAAGUAGAGAUUAUGGUUGUUGAACAUGUGUAUAUAUGCAUAGGUCUGAGUUCUGUAUGCAGUACCUGUACUAUCUGUCUUCCUCUGUAUGUACGUGUAUCUUAGGAGACAACAUACCGGUCGCAUCCAUUGUAUCUAUAUAUAUGUGCCUAGUGCACGAUCAAUCAAUUAUCGAUGCACCAAAUCAUUCCCUACAUGGUAUCUAUUGAAAGACGAUCUUCCAACUUCGCUAACCCUAGCCGCCGCCUCGGGCCGCCGCCGCCGCCGCGACCUCCUGCCGCCGCCGCCGCCCCAAGCCGCCGCCACUACCCCUCCUCCCCGCGCGCCCUCUCCCCGCCACACGCCUUCCCCUUCACGCCGCGCUGCCCCUUCCCGCCGCGCCGCCUCUCCUCAGCCGCGCCGCCGCCUCCCUCCCCACCAUUCCGCCGCCAUGUCGUCCAAUGCCUCCACCUACUCCAACCCCUUCGCCGUCGACCCUACCGAGAUCCGCAACAUCAACGUCCAUGCCUGCGUCCCCGUGAUCCUCGACGCCUCCAACUCCACGUACUUUGCGUGGAAGACGUACUUCACGCUACUCUUCCGCGAGAACAACCUCGUGGAUCACGUGGAUGGCACUGUGGACUCCCACGCCAUGGUGGACGACGCCGAGUGCACCGCGAUCGACGCCAUGAUCAUCCGGUGGUUCUUCACCAUCAUCUCCAAGGACUUGUUCCACACGGUCGUGAGCGCCGGCGACGACGCCCGCGCCAUGCGGGUCAAGCUGAACGGCCUCUUCAUCGACAAUAAGCUUCAGCGCCGCGUUUUUUUGCAGCAGGAAUUUUUUGACUGACACCAGGAUGAACAGUCCAUUGAUGACUACUGCCGCCGCCUGAAGACGUCGGCGGAUGAGCUCCGUGACAUUGGAGCCAAGGUGGACGACGACCUCCUCCUCAGAACGCUCACCGUCGGCCUCAACGAGGACUUCGGCAACACGACCUCCAACCUCACCUUGAUGCCGGAGCCCUCCUUCCCAAGUUUGUGGCGUACUUGAGGUUGGAGGAGCGCCAGAUGAAGGGGGUCAAGAAGCGCGUGCAGCACCAAGCCCUCGCCGCCGGCACCUCACGCGGCGCCCCUCCGGCCGCCCCACCCGCUCCGCACCAGCAACCGCCGCACCCCCCCCCCUCCCGCGCGCCUCCGGGGUACUUCCCCCUACCGCCCGCCCCUCCCGCCCCUCCUGCUGCCCCCCAGCAGCCGGGUGGCGGGCGCCGCGGCAACCGCCGCGGGGGCGGCAGCAAGCAGCAACAGGCGCCGGGAGGGGCCCCUCAUCAGCAGCAGCAACAGGUGACUCCCCCAUGGACGUACGGCACCAACUCGUGGACCGGCUCGUCCACGCGUACUCCAUGCCGGUCCUUCGGGCUNNNNNNNNNNNNNNNNNNNNNNNNNNNNNNNNNNNNNNNNNNNNNNNNNNNNNNNNNNNNNNNNNNNNNNNNNNNNNNNNNNNNNNNNNNNNNNNNNNNNNNNNNNNNNNNNNNNNNNNNNNNNNNNNNNNNNNNNNNNNNNNNNNNNNNNNNNNNNNNNNNNNNNNNNNNNNNNNNNNNNNNNNNNNNNNNNNNNNNNNNNNNNNNNNNNNNNNNNNNNNNNNNNNNNNNNNNNNNNNNNNNNNNNNNNNNNNNNNNNNNNNNNNNNNNNNNNNNNNNNNNNNNNNNNNNNNNNNNNNNNNNNNNNNNNNNNNNNNNNNNNNNNNNNNNNNNNNNNNNNNNNNNNNNNNNNNNNNNNNNNNNNNNNNNNNNNNNNNNNNNNNNNNNNNNNNNNNNNNNNNNNNNNNNNNNNNNNNNNACGGCGCCGCCGCCGCACCGGCCUAUGGACCGCGGCCGCCAACGGCGCCGCCGCUCCGUCCUUUAGGGAUGCUCCCUCGCCGGCCUACAGAGGGUUCUACCCUCCUCGGGUGCCGCCGCCGUGGGACCCGGCCUUGCUCGCUGCACUGCACUCCGCCCCGUCACCUAGUUCCUAUGGUGGCAGUGGUGACUGAUACAUGGACUCGGGCGCCACUGCUCACAUGACUGCUCAUUCCGAUAACCUCACGUCUGCCUCUCCCGUUCAUACCCCCACCCCUAUCACCGUUGGUAACGGUGCCUCCCUACCCAUUACUCACGUCGGUCAUAUGUCUUUUCCUUCUACUUCUACUCUUGUGCCUAUGUCUAGCGUUCUUGUGUCUCCUGACUUAGUAACUAAUCUCGUUUCUGUUUGCCGCCUUUCUCGUGAGAAUCCUAUAGCUGUUGAUUUUGACGAUAUCGGUUUUUCUGUGCAGAACGCCCGUACACGGAUGGUGCUCCACCGAUGUGAUAGACCGGACGAGCUUUAUCCAGUGCAUCCCUCCGGCGCCACCACCACGCGUCGCCCUGUCCCCUUCGCUGCCAGUGUCGAUUUUUGGCAUGCCCGUCUCGGUCAUCCCAACUCUACUGUUAUGCGUCAGAUUCUUCAGAGUUUUUACUUCUCAUGUAAUAAGGUCGACAAUCACACUUGUGAGGCUUGCCGUCUUGGCAAGCACAUUCAUCUUCCCUUUAGCGAGUCUACAAACGUUUCCACCUUUCCGUUUCAGUUAUUACAUAGUGAUGUUUGGACGUCCCCGGUUGCUAGCAACACGGGCUAUUUAUACUAUCUGGUGAUAUUGGAUGAUUUUACUCAUUAUGUGUGGACAUUCCCUCUCCGUCGCAAGUCCGACGCUCUUGCCACACUCACCGCCUUUUAUUCAUAUGUCACCACACAGUUCGGUCGUCCUAUUCUCGCCUUGCAAACUGACAACGGCAAGGAGUUUGAAAAUGUCGCCGUUCGCAAUUUACUUGCGUCCCACGGCACCAUCUUUCACCUCACCUGUCCCUACACGUCUCAGCAGAAUGGUCGCGCCGAGCGCGUCCUUCGCACGCUUAAUGACUAUGUCUGCACGUUGCUCUUCCACUCCUACGUGCCCUCGCGGUUCUAGCCGGACGCGCUCGCGACCGCCAGCCUCCUCAUUAACAUUCGCCCCUGUCGUUCCCGCUGGAACUACACCCCUCACCAGCUCCUCUUCAGUGCGGUUCCAUCUUAUGAUGGUCUUCGCAUUUUCGAGUGUCUCUGUUAUCCUAGCACCGCGUCCACUGCUCCUCACAAACUCGCGCCCCGGUCACUUCCUUGCAUUUUCCUUGGCUAUCCUCCCAACACCAAAGUUUACCAGUGCUAUGAUCCAGUCUUCACUGCGUUUUCACUUCGCGGCAUGUGUACUUUGAUGAGCUCGUGCUCCCGUUUCAGCAGGUACCGUCACCUUCCUAGUCUCAUGCGACGCGGUUCGUCCCUGCCUCCACCUCUGGCGGACCGCCCGGCCGCGCUCCGGGUUCGGCCCUGCCUGUGCUUCCCGUGCCGGCGGCCCCUGGCGCUGUGGCCCCUGCCGCGGCCCCUGACAUAGCGGCCUCCUCGGCCGCCUCCACCGCGGACCCUGUCGCGGCCCCCGUCGCCGCGGCCCCUGACGUCGCGGCCCCUAUCGCCGCGGUGCCUGAAGGAAAUAUGCCCUAGAGGCAAUAAUAAAGUUAUUAUUUAUUUCCUUAUAUCAUGAUAAAUGUUUAUUAUUCAUGCUAGAAUUGUAUUAACCGGAAACAUAAUACAUGUGUGAAUACAUAGACAAAACAUAGUGUCACUAGUAUGCCUCUACUUGACUAGCUCGUUUAUCAAAGAUGGUUAUGUUUCCUAGCCAUGGACAAAAGAGUUGUCAUUUGAUUAGUGGGAUCACAUCAUUAGGAGAAUGAUGUGAUUGACAUGACCCAUUCAGUUAGCCUAGCACUUGAUCGUUUAGUAUAUUGCUAUUGCUUUCUUCAUGACUUAUACAUGUUCCUGUAACUAUGAGAUUAUGCAACUCCCGUUUACCGGAGGAACACUUUGGGUGCUACCAAACGUCACAACGUAACUGGGUGAUUAUAAAGGAGUACUACAGCUGUCUCCAAAGGUACAUGUUGGGUUGGCGUAUUUCGAGAUUAGGUUUUGUCACUCCGAUUGUCGGAGAGGUAUCUCUGGGCCCUCUCGGUAAUGCACAUCACUAUAAGCCUUGCAAGCAAUGUGACUAAUGAGUUAGUUGCGAGAUAAUGUAUUACAGAACGAGUAAAGAGACUUGCCGGUAAUGAGAUUGAACUAGGUAUUAAGAUACCGACGAUCAAAUCUCAGGCAAGUAACAUACCGAUGACAAAGGGAACAACGUAUGUUGUUAUGCGGUUUGACCGAUAAAGAUCUUCGUAGAAUAUGUGGGAGCCAAUAUGAGCAUCCAGGUUCCGCUAUUGGUUAUUGACCGGAGACAUGUCUCGGUCAUGUCUACAUUGUUCUCGAACCCGUAGGGUCCGCACGCUUAAGGUUUUGAUGACAGUUAUAUUAUGAGUUUAUGAGUUUUGAUGUACCGAAGGAGUUCGGAGUCCCGGAUGAGAUCGGGGACAUGACGAGGAGUCUCCAAAUGGUCGAGACAUAAAGAUCGAUAUAUUGGACGACUAUAUUCGGACUUCGGAAAGGUUCCGAGUGAUUCGGGUAUUUUUCGGAGUACCGGAGAGUUACGGGAAUUCGUCGGCGAGUAUAUGGGCCUUAUUGGGCCAUACGGGAAUAGAGGAGAGAGGCCAAAAGGAAGGAGGCCUGCGCCCCCCCUCUGGUCCGAAUUGGACAAGGGGCGCAGCCCUUUUUUCCUUAUUCCUCUCCCCCUCUUUCCCCUUCUCCUACUCCAACAAGGAAGGAGGGAGUCCUACUCUCGGUGGGAGUAGGACUCCCCUUGGCGCGCCCCCUUUCUAGGCCGGCCGCGCCCUCCCACCUUGCUCCUUUAUAUACGGGGGCAAGGGGGCACCUCUAGGCACAACAACAAUUGAUCCGUUGGAUCUCUUAGCCGUGUGUGGUGCCCCCCUCCACCAUAGUCCACCUCGAUAAUAUCAUAGCGGUGCUUAGGCGAAGCCCUGCGACGGUAGAACAUCAAGAUCGUCACCACGCCGUCGUGCUGACGAAACUCUUCCCCGACACUUUGCUGGAUCGGAGUCCGGGGAUCUUCAUCAAGCUGAACGUGUGCUAAAACUCGGAGGUGCCGUAGUUUCGGUGCUUGAUCGGUCAGGCCGUGAAGACGUACGACUACAUCAACCGCGUUGUGCUAACGCUUCCGCUUUCGGUCUACGAGGGUACGUGGACAAUACUCUCCCCUCUCGUUGCUAUGCAACACCAUGAUCUUGCGUGUGCGUAAAUUUUUUUUUUAAAUUACUACGUUCCCCAACAGUGGCAUCCGAGCCUAGGUUUUAUGCGUUGAUGUUAUAUGCACGAGUAGAACACAAGUGAGUUGUGGGCGAUAUAAGUUAUACUGCUUACCAGCAUGUCAUACUUUGGUUCGACGGUAUUGUUGGAUGAAGCGGCCCGGACCGACAUUACGCGUACGCUUACGCGAGACUAGUUCUACCGACGUGCUUUGCACACAGGUGGCUGGCGGGUGUCAGUUUCUCCAACUUUAGUUGAACCGAGUGUGGCUACGCCCGGUCCUUGUGAAGGUUAAAACAGCACCAACUUGACAAACUAUCGUUGUGGUUUUGAUGCGUAGGUAAGAACGGUUCUUGCUAAGCCCGUAGCAGCCACGUAAAAUUUGCAACAACAAAGUAGAGGACGUCUAACUUGUUUUUGCAGGGCAUGUUGUGAUGUGAUAUGGUCAAGACGUGAUGCUAUAUUUUAUUGUAUGAGAUGAUCAUGUUUUGUAACCGAGUUAUCGGCAACUGGCAGGAGCCAUAUGGUUGUCGCUUUAUUGUAUGCAAUGCAAUCGCCCUGUAAUGCUUUACUUUAUCACUAAGCGGUAGCGAUAGUCGUAGAAGCAUAAGAUUGGCGAGACGACAACGAUGCUACGAUGGAGAUCAAGGUGUCGCGCCGGUGAUGAUGGUGAUCAUGACGGUGCUUCGGAGAUGGAGAUCACAAGCACAAGAUGAUGAUGGCCAUAUCAUAUCACUUAUAUUGAUUGCAUGUGAUGUUUAUCCUUUAUGCAUCUUAUCUUGCUUUGAUUGACGGUAGCAUUUUAAGAUGAUCUCUCACUAAUUAUCAAGAAGUUUUCUCCCUGAGUAUGCAUCAUUGCCAAAGUUCGUCGUGCCCAGACACCACAUGAUGAUCGGGUGUGAUAAGCUCAACGUCCAUCUACAACGGGUGCAAGCCAGUUUUGCACACGCAGAAUACUCAGGUUAAACUUGACGAGCCUAGCAUAUGCAGAUAUGGCCUCGGAACACGGAGACCGAAAGGUCGAACGUGAAUCAUAUAGUAGAUAUGAUCAACAUAAUGAUGUUCACCAUUGAAAACUACUCCAUCUCACGUGAUGAUCGGUUAUGGUUUAGUUGAUUUGGAUCACGUGAUCACUUAGAUGACUAGAGAGAUGUCUGUCUGAGUGGGAGUUCUUAAGUAAUAUGAUUAAUUGAACUUAAAUUUAUCAUGAACUUAGUCUUGGUAGUAUUUUGCAAAUUAUGUUGUAGAUAAAUAGCUUGCGUUGUUGCUUUCAUAUGUUUAUUUUGAUAUGUUCCUAGAGAAAAUUGUGUUGAAAGAUGUUAGUAGUAAUGAUGCUGAUUGAAUCCGUGAUCUGAGGUUUAUCCUCAUUGCUGCACAGAAGAAUUAUUUCCUUAAUGCACCGCUAGGUGACAGACCUAUUGCAGGAGCAGAUGCAGACGUUAUAAACGUCUGGCUAGCUCAAUAUGAUGACUACUUGAUAGUUUAGUGCACCAUGCUUAACGGCUUAGUAUCGGGACUUCAAAGACGUUUUGAACGUCAUAGACCAUAUGAAAUGUUCCAGGAGUUGAAGUUAAUAUUUCAAGCAAAUACCCGAGUUGAGAGAUAUGAAGUCUCCAACAAGUUCUAUGGCUAAAAGAUGGAGGAGAAUCACUCAACUAGUGAGCACGUGCUCAGAUUGUCUGGGUACUACAAUCGCUUGAAUCAAGUGGGAGUUAAUCUUCCAGAUAAGAUAGUGAUUGACAGAGUUCUCUAGUCACCAUCACCAAGUUAGUAGAACUUUGUGAUGAACUAUAGUAUGCAAGGGAUGACGAAAAUGAUUCCCGAGCUCUUCGUGAUGUUGAAAUCAACGAAGGUAGAAAUCAAGAAAGAGUAUCAAGUGUUGAUGGUUGACAAGAUCACUAGUUUCAAGAAAAGGGCAAAGGGAAAGAAAGGGGAACUUCAAGUAGAAUGACAAGCAAGUUGUUACUCCCACGAAGAAGCCCAAAGCUGAACCAAAGCCUGAAACUGAGUGCUUACACUGCAAAGGAAAUGGUCACUGGAAACGGAAAUACCCUGAAUAUUUGGUGGAUAAGAAGGAUGGCAAAGUGAACAAAGGUAUAUUUGAUAUACAGGUUAUUGAUGUGUACUUUACUAGUGUUUAUAGUAGCCCCUGAGUAAUACUUGUUCGGUUGCUAAAUAUUAGUAACUCAAAACAGGAGUUACAGAAUAAACAGAGACUAGUUGAGGGUGAAGUGACGAUGUGUGUUGGAAGUGGUUCCAAGUUUGAUAUGAUCGUCAUCUCACACUCCCUAUACUUUCAGGAUUAGUGUUAAACCUAAAUAAAUGUUAUUUGGCGUUUGCGUUGAGCAUGAAUAUGAUUUGAUCAUGUUUAUUGCAGUACGGUUAUUCAUUUAAAAUCAGAGAAUAAUUGUUAUUUUGUUUACAUGAAUAAAGCCUUCAAUGGUCAUACACCCAAUGAAAAUAGUUUGUUGGAUCUCGAUCGUAGUGAUACGCAUAUUCAUAAUAUUGAUGCCAAAAGAUGUAAAGUUGAUAAUGAUAGUGCAACUUAUUUGUGGCACUGCCGUUUGGGUCAUAUCGGUGUAAAGCGCAUGAAGAAACUCCAUGAAGAUGGAUUUUUGGAAUCACUUGGUUAUGAAUCAUUUGAUGCUUGCGAACCGUGCCUUUUGAGCAAGAUGACUAAAACUCUGUUUUCCGGAACAAUGGAACGAGCUAGUGACUUAUUGGAAAUAAUACAUACUGAUGUAUGCGGUCCAAUGAGUAUUGAUGCUCGUGGCUGGUAUCGUUAUUUUCUGACCUUCACAAGAUGAUUUGAGAAGAUAUGAGUAUAUCUACUUAAUGAAACACAAGUCUGAAACAUUUGAAAAGUUCAAAGGAUUUCAGAGUGAAGUGCAGAAUCAUCGUAACAAGAAAAUAAAAGUUUCUACGAUCUAAUCGUGGAGUAAAAUAUUUGAGUUACGAGUUUGGCCUUCAUAUAAAACAAUGUGAAAUAGUUUCACAGUUCACACCACCUGGAACACUAUAGCGCUAUGGUUUGUCCGAACAUCGUAACCGCACUUUAUUGGAUAUUGUACGAUCUAUGAUGUCUCUUAUCGAUUUACCACUAUCAUUUUGGGAUUAUGCAUUAGAGACAAUUGCAUUCACUUUAAAUAGGGCACCAUCAAAAUCCGUUGAGAUGACGCCUUAUAAACUGUGGUUUGGCAAGAAACCAAAGUUGUCGUUUCUUAAAGUUUGGGAUUGCGAUGCUUAUGCGAAAAAGUUUCAACCUGAUAAGCUCGAACCUAAAUCGAAAAAGUGCGUCUUCAUAGAAUACCCAAAGGAAACUGUUGGGUACACCUUCUAUCACAGAUCCGAAAGCAACAUUAGUUGCUAAGAUGGAUCCUUUCUAGAGAAGAAGUUUCUCUCGAAAGAAGUGAGUGGGAGGAAAGUAGAACUUGAUGAGGUAACUGUACCUACUCCUUUGUUGGAAAGUAGUUCAUCACAGAAAUCAGUUCUAGUGAUGCCUACACCGAUUAGUGAGGAAGUUAAUGAUGAUGAUCAUGAAGCUUCAGAUCAAGUUACGACCGAACCUCGUAGGUCUUCCAGAAUAAGAUCCGCACCAAAGUGGUACGGUAAUCCCGUUCUAAAAGUCAUGUUACUAAACCACGAUGAACCUACGAACUAUGAGGAAGCGAUGAUGAGCCCAGAUUCCGCGAAAUGGCUUGAGGCCAUGAAAUCUGAGAUAGGAUCCAUGUAUGAGAACAAAGUAUGGACUUUGAUUGACUUGCUCAAUGACCAGCAAGCCCUGUUAAAUAAAUGGAUAUUCAAGAGGAAGACGGACACUCAUAGUAGUGUUACUAUCUACAAAGCUCGACUUUUUGCAAAAGGUUUUUGACAAGUUCAAGGUGUUGAAUAUGAUGAAAUUUUCUCACUCGUAAUGAUGCUUAAGUCUGUCCAAAUCAUGUUAGCAAUUGUCACAUUUUAUGAAAUCUGGCAAAUGGAUGUCAAAACUGCAUUCCUUAAAUGGAUAUUUCUUAAAGAAGUGAUGUAUAUGAUACAACCAGAAGGUUUUGUCAAUUCUAAAAGUGCUAACAAAAUGUGCAAGCUCCAGCAAUCCAUCAAUGGACUGGUGCAAGCAUCUCGGAGUUGGAAUAUAAGCUUUGAUGAGUUGAUCAAAGCAUAUAGUUCUAUACAGACUUAUGGUGAAGCCUGUAUUUACAAUAAAGUGAGUGGGAGCACUACCGCCUUUCUGAUAAAUAUAUGUGAGUAACAUAUUGUUGAUCAGAAAUGAUGUAGAAUUUUUCUGGAAAGCAUAAAGGAGUAUUUGAAAGGAGUUCUUUAAAAGAAAGAUCUCAGUAAAGCUACUUACGUAUUGAGCAUCAAGAUCUAUUGAGAUAGAUCAAGACGCUUGAUAAGUUUUUCAAUAAGUACAUACCUUGUCAAGAUUUUGAAAUAGUUCAAAAUGGAACAGUCAAAGAAAGAGUUCUUGCCUGUGUUGCAAAUGUGUGAAAUUGAGUAAAGACUCAAAUCCCGACCACGGCAGAAAAUAGAAAAGAGAAUGAAAGUCAUUCCCUAUGCCUCAGUCAUAGGUUCGAUAAAGUAUGCUAUGUACCAGACCUAUUGUAUACCUUGCUCUGAAUUUGGCAAGGGAGUACAAUAGUGAUCUAGAAGUAGAUCACUGGACAUUGGUCAAAAAUUAUUCUUAGAGAAAUAAGGAGAUGUUUUUCGAUUAUGGAGGUGAUAAAAGAGCCCGUCGUAAAAAGUUACAACGAUGCAAGCUUUUACACCAAUCCAGAUGAUUCUAAGUCUCAAUCUAGAUACAUAUUGAAAGUGGGAGCAAUCAGCUAGAGUAGCUCCGUGCAGAGCAUUAUGGACAUAGAAUAUUUGCAAAAUACAUACGACUCUGAAUAUGACAGACCCGUUGACUAAACUUCUCUCACAAGCAAAACAUGAUCAUACCUUAGUACUCUUUGGGUGUUAAUCACAUAACGAUGUGAACUAGAUUAUUGACUCUAGUAAACCCUUUGGGUGUUGAUCAUAUGGCAAUGUGAACUAUGGGUAUUAACACAUACAGAUGUGAAUAUUGGUGUUAAAUCACAUGGCGAUGUGAACUAGAUUAUUGACUCUAGUACAAGUGGGAGACUGAAGGAAAUAUGCCCUAGAGGCAAUAAUAAAGUUAUUAUUUAUUUCCUUAUAUCAUGAUAAAUGUUUAUUAUUCAUGCUAGAAUUGUAUUAACCGGAAACAUAAUACAUGUGUGAAUACAUAGACAAACAUAGUGUCACUAGUAUGCCUCUACUUGACUAGCUCGUUUAUCAAAGAUGGUUAUGUUUCCUAGCCAUGGACAAAAGAGUUGUCAUUUGAUUAAUGGGAUCACAUCAUUAGGAGAAUUAUGUGAUUGACAUGACCCAUUCCGUUAGCCUAGCACUUGAUCGUUUAGUAUAUUGCUAUUGCUUUCUUCAUGACUUAUACAUGUUCCUGUAACUAUGAGAUUAUGCAACUCCCAUUUAUCGGAGGAACACUUUGGGUGCUACCAAACGUCACAACGUGACUGGGUGAUUAUAAAGGAGUACUACAUGUGUCUCCAAAGGUACAUGUUGGGUUGGCGUAUUUCGAGAUUAGGUUUUGUCACUCCGACUGUCGGAGAGGUAUGUCUGGGCCCUCUCGGUAAUGCACAUCACUAUAAGCCUUGCAAGCAAUGUGACUAAUGAGUUAGUUGCGAGAUGAUGUAUUACAGAACGAGUAAAGAGACUUGCCGGUAAUGAGAUUGAACUAGGUAUUAAGAUACCGACGAUAAAAUCUCAGGCAAGUAACAUACCGAUGACAAAGGGAACAACGUAUGUUGUUAUGCGGUUUGACCGAUAAAGAUCUUCGUAGAAUAUGUGGGAGCCAAUAUGAGCAUCCAGGUUCCGCUAUUGGUUAUUGACCGGAGACAUGUCUCGGUCAUGUCUACAUUGUUCUCGAACCCGUAGGAUCCGCACGCUUAAGGUUUUGAUGACAGUUAUAUUAUGAGUUUAUGAGUUUUGAUGUACCGAAGGAGUUCGGAGUCCCGGCUGAGAUCGGGGACAUGAUGAGGAGUCUUGAAAUGGUCAAGACGUAAAGAUCGAUAUAUUGGACGACUAUAUUCGGACUUCGGAAAGGUUCCGAGUGAUUCGGGUAUUUUUCGGAGUACCGGAGAGUUACGAGAAUUCGCCGGGGAGUAUAUGGGCCUUAUUGGGCCAUACGGGAAUAGAGGAGAGAGGCCAAAAGGAAGGAGGCCUGCGCCUCCCCCUCUGGUCCGAAUUGGACAAGGGGCGCAACCCUUUUUUCCUUAUUCCUCUCCCCCUCUUUCCCUUUCUCCUACUCCAACAAGGAAGGAGGGAGUCCUACUCCCGGUGGGAGUAGGACUCCCCUUGGCGCGCCCCCUUUCUAGGCCGGCCGCGCCCUCCCCCCUUGCUCCUUUAUAUACAGGGUCAGGGGGGCACCUCUAGGCACAACAACAAUUGAUCCCUUGGAUCUCUCAGCCGUGUGCAGUGCCCCCCUCCACCAUAGUCCACCUCGAUAAUAUUGUAGCGGUGCUUAGGCGAAGCCCUGCGACGGUAGAACAUCAAGAUCGUCCCCACGCCGUCGUGCUGACGAAACUCUUGCCCGACACUUUGCUGGAUCGGAGUCCGGGGAUCGUCAUCGAGCUGAACGUGUGCUAAAACUCGGAGGUGCCGUAGUUUCGGUGCUUGAUCGGUCGGGCCCUGAAGACGUACGACUACAUCAACCGCGUUGUGCUCACGCUUUCGCUGUCGGUCUACGAGGGUACGUGGACAAUACUCUCCCCUCUCGUUGCUAUGCAUCACCAUGGUCUUGCGUGUGCGUAGGAAAUUUUUUGAAAUUACUACGUUCCCCAACAGUGCCCAACGUCGCGGCCCCCGUCGUCGUGGCCCCAUCGGCCGGCCCCGCCGCGGCUCCCACGGCUGGCCCCACGGCCCCCACUGCGGCCCCGCCACGGCCACUGCCGUGACCCCCAUCGCCGCGGCUCCCUCGGCGGCUCCCGUCGCCGGGGCCGCACCCCUCACCGGUGUGGUCACUCGGGCUCGGACUGGGACACUGUGUCCCAACACGCGCUACCCGUUGGACGAGUACGCGUGCGCGGCUUCUACCUCGACGCCGUCUCUGCUCCCCACCUCCACUCGCGCAGCCCUUCGGGAUCCGAACUGGCUAGCUGCGAUGAGUGAGGAGUUUGACGCCCUGCAGCGCAACUGUACGUGGCAGCUUGUCCUGCGGUCACCCUGUGCCAAUGUGAUCACUGGCAAGUGGGUCUUUCACUACAAGACUCGCCCCGACGGUUCUCUCGAGCGCUACAAGGCGCAUUGGGUGGUGCGCGGCUUUCGCCAGCGCGCCUUCGCGGAGUUCACCGACACCUUCGCCCCGGUUGUCAAACCAGGCACGAUUCGCGUUGUUCUCCAGCUUGUUGUUUCUCGCGCUUGGCCUGUCCACCAGCUCGAUGUGUCUAAUGCUUUCUUGCAUGGCCAUCUCGACGAGCAGGUGUUCUGUCAGCAGCCGUCUGGUUUCGUCGACACCGACUAUCCGGACCACGUGUGCCUGCUCUCCCGGUCUCUCUACGGGUUGAAGCAGGCACCUCGGGCCUGGUACCAGCGGAUCGCGGCCUUCCUCCAGCAGCAGGGGUUCCGGUCCACACGGUCCGAUGCCUCCCUGUUUGUCUACCACCAGGGCCCCGCCACCGUGUACCUCCUAUUAUACUUCGAUGACAUCAUCCUGAUUGCGUCCUCGCCAUCGCUUUUUGAGUAGAUCACAGCUCGCCUCGGCACCGAGUUCGCCCUCAAGGACUUGGGGGUUCUCGACUACUUCCUUGGCAUCGAAGUCGUGCGCCGGGCUACUGGCUUCUUCCUGCACCAGCAGAAGUACGCCUCCGAGCUUCUGGAGCGAACGGGGAUGCUUAACUGCAAGCCUGCUUCCACGCUGUCGAUACGAAGGCUAAGGUAUCCGCCGUCGAGGGCUCUCCGGCGUCCGACGCUCCCUUCUACCGCUCCAUCGUCGGUGCGCUUCAGUACCUCACACUAACGCGUCCGGACAUUCAGUAUGCUGUCCAACAAGUGUGCCUUCACAUGCAUGCUCCUCGUGACACCCAUUCGGCUCUCGUGAAACGUAUACUUCGGUACAUACGUGGCACCACAACCAUGGGUCUCACCCUGACGGCCUCGCCGGACACCAGCCUUGUCGCCUACUCCGAUACCGACUGGGCUGGGUGUCCCGAAACUCGACGCUCCACUUCUGGCUACUGCGUCUACCUCGGGCCCUCUCUGAUUUCGUGGUCGUCUAAACGACAACCCACGGUCUCACGAUCGAGCGCCAAGGCCGAGUAUCGGGCCGUGGCCAAGGCCGUUGCGGAGUGUUCAAGGCUACGAUAGCUACUUCAGGAGUUGCUAUGUGAGGUCACCAAGGCGACGCUCGUCUACUGUGAUAAUGUCUCCGCGUUGUACCUCGAUGCCAAUCCUGUCCAUCACCGACGGACGAAGCACAUUGAGCUCGACAUCCACUUCGUCCGGGAGCACGUUGCACUUGGUCGUGUUCGUGUUCUACAUGUGCCCACCGAUCAGCUGUUCGCCGAUGUGAUGACGAAGGGACUACCCACCUCGACUUUUGAGGGCUUUCGGUCCAGUCUUUGCGUCACCGGGGACGCUUCGACUGCGGACGGGUGUUGAACAUAUGUACAUGUACGUAGGUCUGGGUUCUGUAUGCAGUACCUGUAGUAUAUGUCUCCCUCUGUAUGUACGUGUAUCUUAGGAGACAAGAUACCGGUCCUAACCCUUGUACCUAUAUAUAUGUACCUAGUGCACGAUCAAUUAAUUAUCGAUGCACCAAAUCAUUCUCUAUAAUUGUGAUGGAUUAGUUCGGAAAGAGCAUAUGAAAAGAAAUGGCAACCUUUGUAAAUCGAUCUGUACUAUGACUCAGCCUGAGCAUGAUUUCUUUUUACGAUGCUGCAGAUCCAACCGUACGUACAUUCAUAGAAUAAAGUGCGACACAAUCAUUGGAUUGACAAUCCUACCAAGACCGGACACGAGGUGCCCUUUGUGCAGUAGUCCGUUCCCUAUCGAGCCUACGAAGUAAUAAGAUGCAACUGAAUUAUGAUGAAACGAGGAGGGUGGUACUGACAUGAGUCAAGGAUGCAUCUAGCGAUUUGAGUCACUCGGGGACAACAACAAUGUGGACUGCAGAGGUUCUUGCCGCAUCCAUUCCUUGCGCAUGUUUCCCUCGCGACCACACGCUCCUUCGGCCAACAUCUAUUGAGCCAUAUCCUCUUCUGUUUGUUUUUCCACGAGUAUUUGUUUAUCCCGAGACCUACCAUUCCCAAACAAUUCCCUCACAUGUAUAUGUCUUACUACCUCGAUCGUCUAACAUACUAGGGAUUUUUUUUUCCGAAUAUAACAUACUAGGGAAUUCAGAAAGAAGGGGAUUCAGAAAGAGAAAAUACAAAAGUAGAACGGUAAACUAAUUGCACUGUCUAUUUACUAACUUGCUAUAUAUAUGUACCCAACACCAACCUCCUAUAUUUUGUGGCACCUAGCAUUUGAUUUGGCUUCUAGGUAAUUGCACCGAUGCAUGGAGCAUUUUAUAGUUGCUAGACCCAGCCAAUUCUCUGUAUGUACAUGGUUGCUAAUGAUCUUAACCAUGUGGUAUUAAGUAGAGGCAUCUUAAGUUCUCACCUACUAGGAGAUAAAGCUGGAUCUACCAGUCUCCGUAAGACCAAUAAAAUCCAGCUUCUAUUCCCUCACAGUCUCCGCGAGGAAUCCACACUGUUAUGAAAAGUUCUUAUCAUUUUUCAUCAUGGAAUUUUGUUUUGAAUAUUUUCUAGUACUACGCCUCACCGUGCAAAGAUCAUACUAUCUUGUCUUGCAUGUCCAAAUGAACUUUUUAGGAGCCAUUAGAAUGCCCGCAUAAUAUUCCAUGCUCCUUGCACUUCUAGGGUGGUUCUUCAACACCCUUCGGAGUAAGAUCCUCAUAGAAAUACUCAAUACCCGGUAACAACAACACACAAGGAUCGCCAUCCUCAAUGGGUUCUGUCACUGUAGGCUCGAAUUCCCGCGCUCGAAGCUCAAUUUCCCUGAGAUUGAGUCUUUGGUGGAUGCGGAGCUCGCCGGGCUGCCUGUGACAAUCGAGUCAAGCCCGAUCAAGCCGGCUACGCAUUGUGUCAACGAGAAAGGACAACAUGAGAGAAAGUGACACUCAAAAAAUCACCGUAAAUUUUCAGCUCGUUUGGACUCCAUUUGAUAUUCCUUUUCUAUAAACUCAAAAAUAAGAAAAAAACAGAAAAUGACACUGGGCUCUAGGUUAAUAGGUUAGUUCCAAAAAUAAUAUAAAAUAUCAUAUAAAUUCAUAUAAAACAUCCAGCAUGAAUAAUAUAAUAGCAUGGAACAAUAAAAAAUUAUAGAUACGUUGAAGACGUAUCAGUGGCGCGCAGCCGGUGCGGCCAUGAUCUUCGGCAGGCAGUGGACCUUUCUCGUGAACCCGAUUUGGGCCCAAUCACGACCCGUCCUGCGCGGGAGGUUGGAUGUGGCUUCGGCUACACUGGUCACGUGAUGUACCAUGUGUUGUGCUACCUUCUCCUCCACGGACAGUUCGGCUGGAGUUGACUAGCGGCAUGGGGGCUCCUUGUCUUGCGAAUAAAGGCGGUGGUCGUAGUGUUCUUCUGGUGGCAAGGAAAUGUCUGCGUGAUCGGUUCUUCUUGAUCUGGCUAUCGACGUGUUCCGGGACGUCUGCGUAAUCGGUUCUUCAUGGAUUGGCACAAAAAGCCACUAGAUAUCUAGGUCGGAUUGAAUCCGGUCAUGCACGUCCAUACCAGCCUACGUGGUUUCAUGAGGGCGCAGGGUGCACCUCUAUUGUUUUUUGACACCACGAGACAUGUCAGUAUCUUGAUUUUCAUGGUGUAGACAACGGUGGAGAAGGCCAUUGUGGCUGAGAUUGAAGGACCAGUAAUGGCAGAGGGGGCCUUGGAGGCGAUGCUUGACAGGCUGGUGCUCGGAAUCGUCUUGCGGGACUUCACGUCCACUCUGGACAUGGUACCUGUCAGCCUGGUGUUUGAUAACUUUCAGAAGCAUCAGUGGCAAGUGGGGGCGACAACAAUUGCGAAUUUCACUUUGGUGGUGCUCCUCGAAUGCCAAGUCUUGACUUUUUGGGUGAAACCCUAAGGUUUGAUCUUCAUUGAUUGUGCCUCGCAAUUACCUUGCUGAAGGUAUUGUGUUGAGAGCUCAGACUUUUUCCAUGGUGAAAACCUAAGAUCUUGAAUCGGGCGAUGACAGCGCUUCUACACUGUUUCCUUCAUGGAGGCGUUGCUUUUGGAGACCUUUUUUUUGUUUUCCAGGUGUUGUCUUUGGUGAUGUUUUGUGUGGCGUAGCUGAGAGGAGGUAAUCAUUGUGGCGGGCCUUUUUUUAUUUGCUUGUGUUUUCUUUUUCAGGCUGUGUGCAUCGUGAAUGACUUUGUGACAUUUUGUUCAUGCAGAGGCCGGGUGUACUUUGCGAUAUUAAUAUAUUCCAUUUAUUGAAAAAGAUCUCUCUCAUGGACAUAUAUUUUAAGCUGCACUUCGUCCCUUACCUUCUAAUAUACCCGAGGCAUGUUGUCUUCUAUAAUUCGGUCGUGUAAUGUUCACCUUCUUGCUUCUUCAACGCCUAGGUAGGAGAGUCAAGACAAGGAUGCAAGGACAAAGAGAACACAGCGUCCAGGGCUGCCACUUAUACCAGGAUGCCGACCCGUGCCCUUCCACCUAGUGCGCCCACUUCAGGACGAAGAGACAUUUGUUCUUGUUCUUUCUGAUUGAUUUCUAUUGUGUACCAAAUGUUAGAUUAACCUAGCUGCACGCACACAAGUUUGUUUUACUGCACUUUAGCUAGCUCAUAAGCGUCCUGUACGCAAAUUGGUUCAAGCCAGAAACAUGCUACGAUCACGUUGCGGCUGAAUAGGCAGUAGUGUUUGCUUUACUUCUAUAUAAUCGUGUAGAGAUUCACCACAAUGUAUCCGUGGGAUGGCACGGGUAUAACAGAUCGUGGGUGAUCAGUUUGUAAUGAACUGAAUAAAGGAAAGAGCAGAAAAGACGCAGUCAGUUGCGUGUCACAAAACUCUGCCUCCUCUCUGUUUUCCCUCUUCGUUCGUGUUCUUCAAAGUUCAGACUCAAUCCACCCUCGCGUGUGUAUGUGCACUGAUCUUGGCUAUUCUAAGACCAAAUGGUAAAAUAAAAUGGCAGGCGGAUUACAACAUAUUGAGAGCACGAUUAAUUCUGGAGCACUAUAAUAUCCUGCUUCAGUUUCCAAAUCAAUUGUUGUCUGCAAUUGAACACACACAAAAUUACAACAAGGUUUGUAUGUGCUGGAUUUCUACAACUUCUGCAGUUGCUAGCUGGAUUCUCUUAUGAAAUUCCAUUUCAGGUGCAUCAAAAUAAUUUCCCUGAACAAAAGGACAAUGGUCUUAUUUUUCCAUAGCAAUUAUUUAUGUUUCCCCUAUUUGUUAGGUUGAGAAAAAAGGUUUGUCCUUGGAUGCAAGGUGGAGUAUGCAUGUGUUAAGAUUAUUUAUCUGCAUCUCUCUAUUCCUACACUCAUGAAGAUCAAGUCUGAACAAGUUCCAAGAAAAGUCUUCAACAAAAUAACGACGCAUAAUGCCGCAAUUGCCUUGUAUGAUCAACUAGGGUCAGACCUAGGGUUAGACCCAGAAGCUCGAGACUAGGUACUCAUGUGUCUAGCUACCUUAGUUUUCUGGCCCAACUAGCUUUGGUACUAAUUAGUAUACAUCGCUUAUGGCACGCAACUGCUUGCCACAUCGCUCGUCCAUUGCUUGUUUUUUUUCUUCUGAGUUUUGCUGCUGCUGCCACUCUGAUGUCUUAGGGGAAAAUCCAGCUACCAUUUUUUUUGUUAAUUUGAAAAAAUUAAUGAAAUCAAAAAUAUUCAUGAAUACAAAAAAUAUUCAGAACUUUUAAAAUGAUCAUGCUUUCAAAAAAUCACAAAUUUGAAAAGAUGUUCUUGAAUUUAGAAAAUGUAGUGGUUCAAAAAUGAUCAUGAAUUUUAAAAAUAUUCACACAUUCAUAAAAAAAUGAUCUUGGGAAAAUGUUUGUAUUUUUUAAAAUAAAAUAAAAUAUAAACCAAAACAAGUGUUGACAGCAAGGCUCGGACGUGAGGGUGCGCAGCGGGUUUCACUGCCGAGAGGUGGGCAGGAGUCCUCAUGAGCGUGCAAGCCCACUUGCACUUCCAUCCGAAGGCCGCGGAAAGAGAGCAUGUGAAGAUGUGCCACCAUUGCCGAGGGACCGCCUCAACGCAACGAUAGAGCACAUAAACGAGCUCACCGGCAACGAGGUCAACCGCCUCAGCGCUUCGAACCUGGUCUCCGCCGUGGUCUUCAUCACUGACAGGGUUGGGUACAUCAACUCUGAGCCCGGCCAUGGCUUCGAGCACAUCCGCGAGUAGAUCUUUGGCUCCCUUGACACCUCCGCCAUCCUGCCCCCAUGUGCAGGCUCGUGGAACGCUUGCGGCAUGGACCUCUGGUCACAUCAGAUUCGGUCCUGAUAUACGCCCUCGCCGACGAGUUCGCCGUCAUCCGAGACGUGCUUUGGGCACGAGGAGUAGCUCUUGGCGACCCUCGAAUCCAGGAUCUGCUGCCACUCAUGGCCUUCAGGGCACCAUCUGCGGACCUGCCCGACUUCAUUGUGUCUCUAUCCGGGUCGCUGCCUUAGUUGAGCAUGUGCGACAUGGUGGUCUUGUGUCGUUGGGCUGGCUCGACAUGGUGCACAUAUUGGGUCCGGUUCAGUGCGGCUUCAGUUAAAAAAAGUGUAUGAAAACUAGAAACCAAAAAACAUCAUCCUCAUAGGAUACGCCUAGUCAGCACAAAAUUGAGGAAAAAUACACAAGGGGAUAAAAUAUCGGAAACGCGCUCCGCUUCAACCGAUCGAUUUUCCAUGAAAUUAUCCACCACCUCUUCCAGGUGACGUGUGUCUUUUGUGGGAACCGCCAACCCCUACAGUGAACAGUUCCUUUUCCUCUUCAAUAUCUCCGCAAGCGAAUGGAUAAGAUCGCAAGCCCAUGAGACUGCAGACAAGGUCUGGGCGUGUUCGAUGGUCGGCGUCUGUUAGGCAGCCAAAGACGAGAUGAAGUGCGGGUGCCGCAACCGUCACCGGCCGGUGCUACUGGGAAGCCAUAGACCAGGUAAGGCGCGGGUGCCUCUGCUGCCGCCGGUCGGCGUCUAUUGGGAAGUCGUGCUAUCGCCGACCUCCUCCAUGUCGUUCCCCAGCAUCACCGGCGGCCUCCCUGUUGCAAUUGGAAUGCCGGAGUUGCAAAUGGCAACACGCAUCGGCACUGGUGCCGACGUUUCUGCACACCAUCUUGACUGCAAGAUUUUCUACAACAUUACCUAUGUUGCAAAAAAAUCCGCAACAUCACUUAUGUUGCAAAAAAGUGAAGACCAAUUUUUUUGUGCAACAUUACCUAUGUUGCAAAAAGAAAAUCAUAACAUCACAUAUGUUCAAAAAAAGCGAAGCCCAAAAUAAAGUUCCGUAACAUAACAUAUCUGCAAAAAGAUGUCUGUUGCAAAGGGGUUCUGCAACAUGACUUUUGUACAAAAGUAGAGGGAAGCUAGCCCGCUAGAUUGUGCCACAUCAUACGGUUUGCGAGGCGAUGUAUCUUUUUAAAAGACCUGUCGGUCGAUGUGUAGCAUGGGCUAUGAAAUAUGGGACACAAACGAUAAAUGGGGCUAUAAAUUGAAAAUUUUAUCAAAUUAGAUGAAUUCUGCCACAAGUGUGAAACAUGGGGUAAUUUUCUUUUAUUAAAACUAUAGUACGUAAUUCGCGUGCUGUUCUACAUAACACAAUCAAGAGAGUACGGUGAUAUUUUUUUUUCUACCUGUGCAGAUAGUGAGAAAAUUGCAUUGUGGGGUCAGUAACUUGGCGGUUAGAUACACUUUAACCGAAUAAGUAUGAAAUCGCUAGAAUGAAUACAGUAAUUUGACAGUCAUGUUCAGUGUUAGAGCUUCUCCAGCCGCGCCCCCAACAGGCCCUCCCCAGGCGUUUUUUCUGCGCCGGCGCCGAAAAAACGGCCCAGUCGCCCCCCAGAAGCCCGUUUUUUGCUGGCUCGGGCCGAAAUUGGUGCCGGCGGACCGAGGCAGAACCCGGCGCCCGGGGGGCGCCUGCGGCGCCGGCACAAGUGAAAAGGGGCGUGUGAGUCCGCCUUGUUGGCGAGUCGAGCGCCUCUUCCCACCGUUUCUUCCCGCUUUUCCCCCACUUCCCUCCUGCCGGUGUCAAAACCGGCGGAUCUCGGGUAGGGGGUCCCAAGCAGUGCGCCUUAGGAUCAAUGGUAACAGGAGGCAAGGGACACAAUGUUUACCCAGGUUCGGGCCCUCUCGAUGGAGGUAAAACCCUACUCCUGCUUGAUUAAUAUUGAUGAUAGGGGUAGUACAAGAGUUGAUCUACCACGAGAUCAGAGAGGCUAAACCCUAGAAGCUAGCCUAUGGUAUGAUUGCUGUUGUUGGAUCUAUCAACUAGCCUGGCCUCGGUUUAUAUAAUGCACCAGAGGCCUAGGAUAACAAGAGUCCUAGCCGAAUACGCCGGUGGGGGAGGAGUCCUUGUCUUGAUCGCCAAGUCUUGUGGAAUCUUCCUUGUAUGCGGCAGCUGUCCGAACUGGCCCAUGAGUAUCACUACAAGAAUCUUGUUAACCCAUGACGGAUUUGUCCCGUCACAGAACAGUGCAAAACCAUCCAGGAGGGCGGUCCAUGACGGAUUUACAAUAUGUCAUGUAUAUCGCAUCAUAAUUGGACAACUGCACCACCAUGACGGAUUCUGGCCGUCACCGAACAAUCCAUAGGCCCCUCCGGCCACUCCAGGCCCGGUCCUCUAUGACAGGCUAAUCCGUCAUGGACUAACAUAACGUUGUACCAACAUGGAUCCGACAUGCCAUCUACGUGGACCUGGCGUGGCAUCCUGCAUAGCCAUUGGCCUAAUUAUUUCUGUCUAACCAGGCCCAUUAUCUCAUUUAUUUCAAUACAAACCAUGAUAUUCAUCCAACCAGCUACAACACAACCCAUUACACAUAUUCGAACGAGUUUUCACAACCCAAUUAAUUUCCAUUGAACAUGGCCAUAAUUUGACCCAUUUCAUAAAUUUUCAUUCAAUAAUUUCACCAAGUAAAGGUCAUUUACAUCCAACAUCUGUUCACAUGCCCCUCUUACAAAUUACACAUCAUUACAUAAGAAGUAUACAACAUUGUGCAGACCCUCUUAAUCAUCAACUUCACCUCUGCUACUCAAACUUUCUUUGCAACCCUGACCAAGGAAACCUGUAUAACAAACUUAGAUUUUGUUACACAAUAGCAAGUUGAUUACAACAAUAGCAACAGUAGUUAUUAUCAUCUGAACCAUCGUUCUAAUUUCACAUUAUUCUAAAAUGUAUAUACAAAACUACUAUGGGCAUAGCAAAUCUAUAUAGAAACAGGCUAACCAUAAAAUGUAAACCUCUUAUGGAAUCAAACCUGAUUGUUACUAUAAUGUAGUGCACAAAAAUGUUAACUAGAUAAAUAAGUGCAUACAUAAGCCACUCUAUCUUACCACCAUAUUGAUAGAGAUCCAACAAGCCAUUGAUUAAAAAGGCAUAAUCAUGCAAAAAUCCUGGUGCAUUUGCUGGGCCAUUGGGAUAACUAUGAUGCAACCUUUUUGAGCUUGUAUCAUAGAGUUUUUCCUUUAUAAAGUUUGCUGCCUUUUCUGAAACUGGAAGAUAUUCUACUAGCUGCAAAAAUAUCCACAAAUAUGGACAAUCAAGAAACAAAUUUAUAUGACACAAACAAACACAUUCAUGUAAAGCAGGUGAAGACAAAAAUCUAGUGAUUUUUGUAUGACUUUCUAAUAUAAAAGACUAGGAAUUCUCCUACAGUCAUUCAAUGUUCAAAACAAAUACAAAAAAUCUAGCACACGCCACAACACAUGAAGGGGAGAUAGCCUUUUAGACCUGAUACAAAGCAACAUAUACACUGCUGCAGAAGAGGUCCAUACACAAUAUCAUGGUGUUCUCGUAACAUAAUGGACAAUUUAAUUUAACUUUUUUAAACAAAUGCAUGGGCAUGCAUUCCUAGCGAUUAGGUUUGAACAAGUCCAACAUGUGUAGAGAACAACUGAGCAAGAAGAAUAAGCAACAAACUAUAGAGUACAGACUGGCCAUGGCUCUCCAUUGUUUAUGGUGUGGUUACAACUUACGACUAGUCAAAAUAGUAAAUAGGUGCCAUGAAUAUCUGAAUUUAUCAGUUUGAAAACAGUUCCAGUUUCUUAAUUUCGCCCAUUCUUUUUCACCUGAUUCUAACUGCACAUAGUUCAGUUUAUUAGAUGACUAAAAUGCUUUGGCAGGUGCUGAAAUUAUACAGAAUUGAUCAACAAUUAAAUACUAAGGAUAACUCGACUAUAUUAUAUCCAUAUAUCUGAGUAUAUGACUUGAUAUGUUGAAAAAAGAUUUAGCCUGAAUAAUAUGUGAUAGGAAGCACCAACCGGGAAUAAUAACAUGAUCUGUCCAAAAUUAUAACAAACAUUAGAUAUUUGUAGAUGGCUUACAAUUUUUCCUAGUCUUGUAGGGAACUAAAAUACUUUCCUUCCAUGCUUAUACUAAUAAUAAUGCAAGUAGGUCAGAAUCACGUGAAAUACAAAUCAAUCAACAGUUUCCAUGUAUUUUUCAGUCAUACCCAGCAAAGCAAGUAACGUCCUAGUUGCAGAAAGAGGACUUGCAUGCUUGUAGUCAGGUUCAGCUUGAAUAGAUGCAAAAGACUAGAAUAUAUGUAUGAAUGGAAUUCUUAUUAGUUGUUGCAUUUAAGGAAGUGAUGCAUAUAUUCUAUGCUUGUAGUCAGGUCCUAGUUAAAGAAAGAGGGCGUCCAUGCUUGUAGUCAGGUUCAGCUUGAAUAGAUGCAAAAUACUAUGCACGUUGUAGGCACGUUGGAACAACAAAAAAUAUAGAAAAAUGUAUGUAGAAAUAUUGAUGAUAAGUCACAGCAAUUUUGUACAGUCAACCAUGUUGUAAACUUGACCACCAGAUCUAAAAAUAUAUUAUAUACUCUACACGAAAGAUGAUUGCAACAAUUUUGGGAAGCUGAUAUAACUUAAUAUCAAAUGAAUGUACACCACAUUUUCUUCUAUGAAUUAACUAUGCUAACCCAUGUAGUACUGCUACAAUAGGAUCAUGGCUAUAUGAUAUCUUGGUCAACAGAUGUAUGUAUCAAUCAAAACUCAAAAAUGUUGUAAUAAAGUAUCAAUUGAUGAGUGCAUACCAUUAUUCCCUUGCUAGUGAGCACGCAUUAUUAAAGGUAUUAGCUUAAUUGGCCUUCAGUUUCAGGCCGCCAACAUCAUUCAGAGUGUGCUAAUGAAACAGGGGUGUUCAGAUUCAUGAGUUGUUGAGCCAGCUCGACUUGGACGCUUCCAUGAACUGGUCACUUGUCUCGACAUAUUUGCUGGUUGACACCAGCAGCCAACAAUCGACAUCAUCGUCGUACAUCCACUUCUCUGCUAUCCCUAUCAAAUCAAAAACUACAAAAUUACUAUGUGAAACAGGCUACAAUGUGCAUAUUAACCAAGAAAACUACCUCAGCAAAAGAAGUGAAAUAUAUAUGUAUAAGUGAUGUGCAUAUUAACCCAGAAAAUUACUAACUACAAAAUACUUCCUUCAAUUUCCCUCACUGUACAGGAACUUGUUCAGGUAUAUACAGAUGAACACGCUUCAGUCAGUCAACGCACAUUCUACCAAGAAAAUAAGAUGGCAGGGGGAGAGGAAGAUGGGAUUUGGGGUGUUCACAUGGGCAAGAGAGGGCCUCCAGUGGUUCAAAUGCGGCAGAGGAGGUUGCCACGGGCUGCACAGCCGUACCGGAGACGCAACAGAGGAGGUUGCGGUCGCCGCCGUGCAGCCCAACGCGAGUGAGCGCACCGAGCUAGGCGGAGCCAUCCAGGAGGCGUAGAGGGCGCGAGGGGGCGUAGUGCGCGACAGAGUGAAGCCACCGGAGACGCGCCGACGAUGGAAGCGAAGCCAUAGUAGAAACCCUAGCCACUGGCUAGGGGUCGCCGGGCGAGCGCCAAAGACCGGGAGCUACGGAUACUGCCGGCCUGGAGGAGAGAGUGGUCGGAGACCAGCUCUUGUGUGUGUUGCGCCGUGGUGGACAUCGCCAGAAUCGGCGGACGUUGGCUGCGUUGUGUGGGUUCAUAGGAGAGAGAGAGAGAGAUUGUUUGUGAGAUGGAUGGGUGGGUGGAGAAUGCUGCAGAUCUGGAAACUGCCCGAGGUGAGGAGGAUAGGGCCGUCGGCGAACUAUUGGAGGGAAGCGAGGAGGUUGGUUGCGGCGGCGCUGUGCGGGAGUAAUGGGGAAUCAGGAGGGGCUGCGGGGGAGGAAGUGAGGAUGAGGGUUAGGGUUAGCAUUUUAUAUGUGUAAAGCUUAUGCGGGCUUGGGCAGGCUUGUGGCGGGCUUGCGGGGCUGUACCACGCCAUCCAUGACAGUAUCCAAAAAUGUCAUCGAAAAUCCGUCAUGGAUUAACAUGUUUUUUGUAGUGUAUACGACCAUGGGGGUCCUCGGCCCAAUCUAACAGAUCGGGAGAUGACAUGGUGAGUACCCCCUAGUCCAGGACACCGUCAGUAGCCCCCUGAACCGGUCUUCAAGUUAGGGACGCUCCUCGAUUCUUCUGAACCGUUCUUCAUCUUCACUCAUCGGUCUUGAAAACUGGUUCAACAAAUCUUCUCAUCUUCGAUCUUGAGGAUCUCCGAAAUGCAUUCGACGAGUUUAUACGUCGGGUAUCCGAUGAGACCCUUUAAGUUUCCGGCCUUUAUCAAUGCCUUGUUAUUUUUAUGCCACACCUCGGGUUUGAAGUUGUUCCCGGGUGGCAGCGUCCUCUUGCGUCCGAGCUCCAACACCGGACUGCAUUCGAGGUAUCUUUUGCAGCUGAGCACCAAUGUCGGACUGCUUCCGAGCUCCAACGCCGGAAUUUAUCCAAGCUCUAACGCCGGACUGUGUCCAAGCUCCAACGCCGGACUGUAUCCAAGCUCCAACGCCGGACUAUAUCCGAGAUGUCACAUAUCAUCUGGGUUCAAAAACUUGAAGGAGUUUAGCCGAGCUUAAUGCCGGAAAUGCCCUCUACGGAGCCAGCCACUAGCGUCCGAGCUUUAUGCCGGACUGCUUCCGGGGUGUCUAUUGUAGUCGAGCACCAACGCCGGACUGUAUCCGAGCUCCAACGCUGGACUAUGUCCAGAUGCACCUGAAGGAAAAGAUGAAACCGCUGAUCCCAGUAGCCCCUGAGACUCAGGUCGAUGCGUGAAAUCGGCCUGAGGAUCAACUCCUAGCUCGGCAGCAUAUGUAGGAAUAGAAACGCGGUGUGCAAAGUCCUCGAGACUCAGGUUGGGUGCGGCCGACCAACCUGAGGAUAAUAAUCUCCUUGAAAACUAUAUUGCACUUUUAAUUUUCUGCAUUGGAUUGCCAAUGCAGUAGCCCCCGAGACACUGGUCGGGUGGCAACACCAGAUUAGGGGAUCGAUAUGCCCUUUUAAUAUUUGUAAAUAAUAAGCCUGAAGCCUAGUAGCCCCCGAGCCUUAAUGCGGGCACGGGAGGCCGAAUUAAGGAUCGAUAUACAUAGUAAAAUCACAAGGUAUGUGUAAUGACUCUAUGUAUCCAAGUACUUUACGUCAUUAAUGCUCGGAACCGCAUUGUACAAAACGUUGUUGACCGACCAUCGGCUUCCACCUCCUCGGCCAAUAGUCAAGGAGUGUUUGUCCUACUUUAUAAAGCCUUUAUGAGGGCAAAGAUUUACAACAAACAAGGCAAUCUGGCAAUACGGUUUUAUAAACAAAGGUACGCGGAGAGACAUGUUAUAUUACUGUUUAACAGAAGAAAUGUCUUCCAAAGAAAAUAGUCCCGCUAUCGGUUCCUUUCUUUGGGUUGUCAUGCUAAGCAUGAUCAUGAAACCUCGGCUCCAAUGUAAGAGCAAAAUAUCGAGGAUUUAGUUUGGGAGGCCAGUUAAUAUCCCCCGGUAGUGUUCGGCGACAGUCGAGGUCAAGCCGUAAACACUUCGGGCAUUGUUAUGAAUGGCCCAUCGUUUAACACCGUCAUCGGAUCGCUGACCAGUUUACGCUUAUUGUGACAGUCAGUUUUCGGCUUUCUCCACUGAGGUGCUUAACCAUGUGAGCUGGAAGCACAAUCGCAGUGGUUCUCCCUUUGCACACCUAGCCGAACAAAGCGGAACAUAGGAGGCAAGCGCAGGAGCCGGGCAACCCAAAUAUUGACCGAAGACACAAUUCGAAACCGAUGCAUAUAUAGCAAUAUCCGAGAAUGUUUUUGCCGAAUCUCUAAAGGUGUCCGGCGUUGCACUGCGAGAAUUGUGCUGAAAACACAAAAAUAGUUUAAAAGUGCCAUAAGCUUGGAAAACCAAGAAAAAUAUCAGUAAAAACUUGACGUCCGAACAAGAUCAAGUGUUCGGUGCCAAUCCGAAAAUUGGCCUUAGCAAUAGAAGUGCUUCUGUCGUGCUUUAACAUGAUACAUCUUAUCUCAAGACUUCAAGCGGGUCAGCCUACGGCUUCAACCACCUAUCCCUAGGGCGGAGUACUUCUCAUUAGGUCAGUUUAGCAAACUAAACUCUAGCGGCUUUGAGAAAGAAAUUAGGCUCCCCGGCUAGUGACCACACGCUCGUGUCGAAAAAAGGAGUGAUAGAUAAUAAUAGUAAUAAUAAAACUUUGCAACGACUAGGAAGAAGAACACUUAUCAUAAAACGGCUCAUAUAAAUUUAAGAUUCCCCAAGUGACUUGGGUAAAAGAAUGAUUGCAUGUACCGAAGUACUUAUAUCAUAUCUAUGUUCAACCAAACUUUAAACGCGUCUUAACCGACCGUCGGCUUCUCCCUCUUCGGUCAAGGACCGAAAAGUGUUAUAUACUCCAUCUGUCGAGAAUAUCGACGGUGUUUCCAAUAACCAGGCAAUCAGGCCAUAAGGCUGUAACAGACAAAGCGCGCUCAGGGAACUUAUGCUAUAUUACUGCGAAGUGUAAGAAGCAUCUUCGAAGAAAAUAGUACUCCCACCGAUACCUUUCUUCGGUGCUCAUUGUUAUUAUGAGACUUGUGCAAUAGAUUUUUUGUACUCAUGAGUUCCGUUGUGUGCCGACCAUCAUUGAAAACUAUAAGAGCGCUAGCUUUCGGCUUCGCCCAGUCUGAGGUCCGGCUCAGAUGACCUGAUCGUGACAAUCGCAGAGGUGCUCCCUUUACUCCCUAGCCGAACAAUCGGGAACGUAGGGGUAAACACAGGAGCGAGACAACCCAGCUUGCAAAUUGCUUAAGUCAAUAUGGUGCAUAUUGCGGCGUAAUACACGAAUAAGGAAUGAAGCCGUACAAAUAUAAUCAUAUGCAAGAGGAAAAGCUUCAUGAAGGAAGCCCCCAAAUGAAUUGGGUAUUUGAAUUUAUGCGUCACACACAAAGUUUGGACAAGGAAAUUUUUACAAGCAACUUUUUUCCAAAAAAGUAUAAUGCUUGGUCGAGCCGAACACAAGUUAAAAAUUUAGAACUUUAAGCAUGAAGGCAACUUAGCUGGUUAAUUUGUUCGGUAUUGAUGACGCGGUCCGAGCUUGAUGCGGGACAAGGUUCCAUCCCCCAAGUCGGUCCCGAGGUGGCAGAGCAAAGAGCUCGGCACUCCGAAGUGGUGACAUAGCACGGUCAAUGCAGGACGGCAGGGUGAUGCCGAAGUCCCCGGCAUGGGGUAAUGAAGUGUUGACGAAGCGCCCCGUCCAGCCGAGGUGACGCCAAAGGAUAUAGUCCGGCUGGAUCAUUUUCCUGUGCACAAAAAAUAGUGCAAACCGGAGAUAAUAGUAAUAAUAAUAAAAAAAAUCGUUGCAUAACAAAUAAUUUAUGCAAAGUGAGUAAUAAAAGAAAUAUGGCCUGGCGCCGAAGUCAAUUUCGAUGCAGAGCGGCGACGUGAUGCGGUAAAGGCAUGGCAAGGCCUGAAUUCACAGGUCGGUUCGAGUUCCGGAUGAGGCGUACGCCGGACUAUGUACGUAAACUGACCGAACCAUCAUGCGACCGUCAUUAAUGCGGCCACCAUUUGAUAGACAUGCAUAUAGAUGAUGGAACAAAGCAGAGUAAUAAUUCCUUGGGAAAAAAUAAACCUGAACAAGCAAAAAUUGUUGGGAUUAAUAGCACCUGGUUUAUUUGUUGUAGCGGUUCGAAGAAAGGUUACUCCCAAAAUUGGGACUCGAUCCGCACACCCAUUGCCUGAUGGGUGACGAAGCGAAGACAUGACGAUGCUGGCAAAGGCUGGCUCGCCGAGGCAAAGCCCGUGGUCCAGCUAAUGUGAUGAAGCUGGUUGGCCGGUGACGCCGGAGUCUCCGGGGUAAGUUGAUGAAGAGAUGACGAAGCCCCCAGUCUAGGCGAGGAGACGGAGCAGGUCGGUGAGGAGAUGUGCCAGCUGAGGUGUUGAAGUAGUUCGGCGUGAUGGACACCGGCUCGAUGAAGCAACAGUUCGGCCAUGCCGAUGCAGGUCGUAGCUUGUGAUGUGAUCAAUGCUGGCUUGAUGAAGUGACCGUGUGACGAUGCCGGUGUGCCCGCUCCGUGUAAUCCGUGGGGCGGCGAUAUUGGUGACGAUUUAUCCUCCGCGAUGCUGAACUAUUGUUCGGCUGACCGAGAUGAUGAUCCGAAUAAACUGAGCUCGGCUCAACAAAGCGACGACGUGUCUAACGCAGGUCGGCCGCCGUGGAGUGAUGUUUAUCGGGCUGGUUUGACACCGGCGCGACGGUGAAGUUCGUAUUGCAAAAAUACUUUUAGUACUACUGGGAUGUGUGAUGGGGUCAUGUACCUAGGGUAGGGUCAUGGACCUGGUCUAAGUGCCUUGCCCAAGGACACCCUUAGAAGAGGUCACCUUCCAGUCGACCAACGAGGGACUCACUCGACUGACUUAAAGGACUCGACCAUGAAGACUCACUCGACCACCAGGAGGUCAAGAGGCACUCUGCACUGCAACGGCCUGUAAUUAAGUAGGCUUUAUGAUAGUAAAGACACUUUAUGUGGGGCGUUACCAGUAACGCCCCAGACUUAACUCACCUUAAACCCUCUCCUACGUGGGCUGGCUGGGGUCCUGGCGCACUCUAUAUAAGCCACCCCCCUCCACAGGUAGAAGGGUUCGGCAUCUUGUAACUCAUAUACUCAUAAUCCACUCGACCGCCUCCGGGCUCCGAGACGUAGGGCUAUUACUUCUUCCGAGAAGGGCCUGAACUCGUACAUCUCUUGUGUUUACAACCUCUCCAUAGCUAGGACCUUGCCUCUCCAUACCUACCCCCACUCUACUGUCAAGCUUAGAACCACGACAGUUGGCUCCCACCGUGGGGUAGGUGUUUUAGCGAUUUUGUGGAGAAGUUGCGAUUCUUCCGAGUACUUUCAUCAUGGUGUCUGCUGGAGUUUUGGUCGAAGGUCGAGAGAUCUGUCUCGGCACUCUCACGUUCAUCGCCGACGACUCCGCCUGGCUCCAGGAGGCUCCACUCGACGUUGAUGCGCUCCCCGUCCGCGGUGCGACGCAUUUUCGCGCAUGUGUCCGCGGCGUUCUGCUGCGGUAACCGUCGACCCCGUAUCGGACGACUCCUCCAUCGUCCACCCUCCCGGUCUCCCGCCAGCGCAAGCGCUCAGGCCGGUCGAGGCUUCAGCGAUGGGUGAGGCACGCGGUGGCUCGCCAAUCGGCCACUACCCAAGUUGCGGCAAUCGAGCCCGACGAAUCUCUCUACGGCUUGUUCGAUCUGUCGACUGGCUCCGUAGAGACUGCAUCCGAGUGCGGUAGCAGUGAUCCAGCGGCGGAAAUCUUGAUGGUCGACGGGCCCCGCAGUCCCCCUGGCUUCGCCCGUGAUGGUGGAGCAGGUGACGGAGGCGACCCCGCUCGAGGCCACGAAGAGUACCAGCCCGAGCCACUCGACUCUCUGCAAAGAGAGGAACUUCGCCGCAGGAACGUGGAUGCUCUGCGUACUCCCAUCGCAGGAGAAACCCCCGAGGCUCGUGCCUUGGAGGAGGCACGCCUGGCCAAUUUGGCCGAGUGCACUCGACUGGAGAAUCUUCAGCGAGCACUCGACGAGCACGCGCGGCAACGAGUUCCCGACACCAGUCGACGUCAACUCUUCCCGUCGACUCAGGUAGAUCGAACCCCAAUCCAGAAUUUAGCAGCUGCGACCCGUAUAGCAGAGUCCAUCCAGCCUUCGCAGUCGGAAGCUGGCAGAGGUUUGCUGCAGAUCAGGGAUCUACUCCGGGCAGCAGGAGAUCAGAAUUCAGCCGUGUCUCAGUCGUGCAACAGAAUUCACAGUCGAUCCGUCACUGCGAAUACGGUUCAGUCGGCUCACAGCCCCAGAUCGCCUCCGCGGCGUGAAGGGCGCGAGAAUCGGCGAGAUCAAUAUGGCGACCGACUCGACCGAGAUGAUAGGCGUCGAGUGCCCAAUUCCCCUCCGAGGGGUGGGUCUUACGCUCCUCGACAGGAAGAUGAUAGGCGUCAGUACAGUACAGGGCGAAGGGUUCCAGUCGACCCCAGAGAACCAGGCUUCGACGCGCGAUCCAUUAUCGUGCAAGGUAUGGUCGACCGGAACAGAGCCCAUCGAGGUGGACUCGACAGAGAUGCACCUACAAGCAGUCGAGUGCAUGUUUCUGGUCCUGAAUGUUUCAGCAGAGCUAUCAGAGCUGCAGUUAUCCCUCCCAAUUUCAGGUUGGCGACAGGAGUCAGCAAGUUCACUGGUGAGUCUAAGCCUGAAACUUGGCUUGAAGAUUACCGAGUGGCAGUUCAGAUUGGUGGUGGGAACGACGAGGUGGCCAUGAAGCAUUUGCCCCUCAUGCUGGAAGGUUCUGCCAGGGCAUGGUUGACUCAAUUACCUCCUAGCAGCAUUUACACUUGGGAAGAUCUGUCCCGAGUGUUCGUCAGAACGUUUGAAGGAACUUGCAAGCGACCAGCUGGAUUGACAGAGUUGCAAGUCUGCGUGCAGAAGGCUAAUGAGACUCUUAGAGAGUAUAUUCAGAGGUGGAUCACUUUGCACCACACUGUGGAGAAUGUGUCCGAUCAUCAGGCAGUCUGCGCCUUCAAAGAUGGCGUCAAGAACAGAGAACUGAGUUUGAAAUUUGGUCGAACCGGUGACAUGACCUUGAGUCGGAUGAUGGAGAUUGCUACCAAGUACACCAAUGGCGAAGAAGAAGACCGACUCCGAAGCGGCAAACACAAGCCGAGUCAGUCGGAAAAAGGAAACACCAGUCGGAAACAGAAGCGGAAGGCUGAACCGGCAGCUCCUGGAGAGGCUCUGGCCGUGACUCAAGGAAAGUUUAAGGGGAAACCAAAAGGAUCCUGGAACCCCAAGAAGGUAAAGGAUAAAGAAGGGAACGACGUAAUGGAUAUGCCAUGUCACAUCCACACGAAGAAAGACGAAGAGGGGAAUAUCAUCUACCCGAAGCACACCACUCGCCAAUGUCGACUCCUGAUCCAGCAGUUUCAGGGAAAACAGUCUAAGGACAAGGAGAAGGAGUCGGACAAGGCCGAAGACAAGGAGGACAGUGAGGAAGGAUAUCCGCAUAUCAACUCCACUCUGAUGAUCUUUGCAGAUGUGGAAAGCAGGAGUCGACUGAAAGUCAUUAACCGAGAGGUGAACAUGGUUGCCCCAGCAAAAGCAAAUUAUUUGAAAUGGUCUCAAAUACCCAUCACAUUCGACCAAUCUGAUCACCCGACUCAUAUUGCCACCCCUGGGAGGCAAGCUUUGGUGGUCGAUCCAGUUGUCGAAGGCACUCGACUGACAAAAGUGCUGAUGGACGGUGGAAGCGGGCUGAAUUUGUUGUAUGCAGACACACUAAAAGGAAUGGGCAUUCCGAUGUCCCGACUGAGCACUAGUAACAUGAGCUUUCAUGGAGUUAUACCAGGGAAGAAAGCCGAGUCACUCGGCCAAAUAGCUUUGGACGUGGUGUUUGGUGAUUCGAAACAUUUUUGCAAAGAAAAGUUGACGUUUGAGUUCGUGGAUUUUCAGAGUGCAUAUCAUGCCAUUUUGGGGAGACCAGCUUACGCACGGUUCAUGGCUCGACCAUGUUACGUGUACCUCAAAUUGAAGAUGCCCGGCCCCAAAGGAGUGAUCACUGUCACCGGUGAUCGGAAAAAGGCAGAAGAGUGCUUUCAGAAGGGCUCAAAGAUUGCCGAUUCCCAGGUGACAGCGGUCGAUUUCGAAGAAUACAAGCAAAAUGCAGAUCCGAGUUACUUGCUGCGAUCAAAGAAACCCGCCACAGAGUCUGCAUUUCAGUCGUCCAGUGAGACGAAGCCUGUUCACAUUCACCCGACCGACCCCGAUGCAGCUCCGACUCGCAUCUCCACAACACUCGACCCAAAAUAGGAAGAAGCGCUCAUCCAGUUCCUCCGUGAGAACUGGGACAUUUUUGCAUGGAAGCCCGCUGACAUGCCAGGUGUUCCCAGGGGACUGGCUGAGCAAGAGUCGACUCGUCUGCAAAACCAGUCAAAGAGCAUCUUCGGCGGUCCGCCGUCCAGAAGAGAGAAGCCAUUGGUGAGGAAGUGGCUCGACUGUUGGCGGCAGGAUUUAUCCAAGAGAUAUACCACUCCGAGUGGCUCGCUAAUGUCGUCAUGGUUCCUAAGAAGGACAAGUCGCUCCGAAUGUGCAUUGAUUUCAAGCACAUCAACCGGGCCUGCCCGAAAGAUCAUUUUCCUCUCCCUCGCAUAGAUCAAAUUGUUGACUCGACCGCGGGAUGCGAGAGGCUGUCUUUUCUAGAUGCCUACUCUGGGUACCACCAGAUCCGUCUGUACGGACCCGAUGAGGUAAAAACAGCUUUCAUCACUCCAUUCGGGUGCUUCUGCUAUAUCACCAUGCCAUUCGGCCUCAAGAAUGCCGGAGCCACAUUUAUGUGAAUGAUUCAGAAGUGUCUACUCACUCAAAUCAGUCGGAAUAUGGAAGCAUAUAUGGAUGAUAUCGUUGUCAAGUCACGAAAAGGUUCCGACCUGCUCGCUGACCUCGCCGAAACAUUUGCCAACCUCGGAAGAUAUGAUAUCAAGCUCAAUCCAUCAAAGUGCACAUUUGGAGUUCCUGGUGGCAAGUUACUCGGUUUUCUCGUUUCCAAACGGGGAAUCGACGCUAACCCAGAGAAGAUUGGCACUAUUCUCCGAAUGAAACGCCCUGUGCAAGUGCACGAUGUCCAGAAGCUUACUGGAUGCUUGGCCGCAUUAAGUCGAUUCAUCUCACGACUCGGUGAAAAGGCAUUGCCUCUUUACCGACUGAUGAAGAAGACAGACAAGUUCGAGUGGACUCCAGAAGCUGAUGCAGCGUUUGCCGAGCUAAAAGCUCUGCUCUCCACCCAGCCGGUGCUUGCUGCUCCAAUCAGCAAAGAGCCUCUGUUGCUCUAUAUCGCAGCCACAGGACAAGUCGUCAGUACUGUGCUUACGGUCGAGCAGGAAGAAGAAGGAAAAGCUCUCAAAGUUCAGCGCCUAGUGUAUUAUUUGUCUGAAGUCUUGACUCCAUCCAAGCAGAGAUAUCCUCAUUAUCAGAAGCUUGUGUAUGGAAUAUACAUCACCACAAAGAAGGUUGCUCAUUAUUUUUCUGAUCAUUCCAUCACAGUCGUCAGCGACGCUCCACUAUCAGAGAUCUUGCACAACAGAGAUGCAACUGGUCGAGUGGCCAAAUGGGCGAUUGAACUUCUUCCCCUUGAUAUCAAGUUUGAGGCAAAGAAAGCCAUUAAGUCCCAGGCAAUAGCAGAUUUCCUCGCCGAGUGGAUUGAGCAACAGCAGCCGACUGAAGUUCACUCGGAGCAUUGGACCAUGUUCUUUGAUGGCUCUAAGAUGUUGAAUGGUUCCGGUGCUGGGGUUGUCCUGGUUUCCCCCAGAGGAGAUAAGCUCAGAUAUGUGCUCCAGAUUCACUUUGAUUCCUCCAACAAUGAGGCAGAAUAUGAGGCCCUCUUAUACGGGUUGCGCAUGGCCAUUUCACUCGGCGUCCGUCGCCUGAUGGUCUAUGGUGAUUCGGAUUUAGUGGUCAACCAGGUGAUGAAAGAGUGGGACGUGAGAAGUCCAGCCAUGACUGGAUACUGCAGUGCAGUGAGGAAGCUGGAUAAGAAGUUCGAGGGGUUGGAGCUCCAUCAUAUACCCCGACUGAAAAAUCAAGCAGUUGAUGAUCUAGCAAAGAUAGGUUCCAAGAGAGAAGCCAUUCCGAGUGGUGUGUUCUUGGAGCAUAUACACACUCCGUCAGUCAAAGAAGAUCCUUUCAUCGAAGAAACUCCACAGCCCAAGAGUGCCACAGAUCCGACUGAGAUUGAAGUCCCAGCGAUGGUCGACUUGAUCAUGGAGGUUUUGGUGGUCAUUCCCGACUGGACAGUUCCGUAUGUCGCAUAUAUCCUGAGAAAAGAGCUUCCGGAAGAUGAGGAAGAGGCUCGACAGAUCGUCCGUCGAUCUAAGGCCUUUACCGUAAUCAAAGGACAAUUAUACAGAGAAAGCGCGACUGGAGUUGGCCAGAAGUGCAUAACACCAGAGGAAGGUCGACUCAUCCUCAAUGAUAUCCACUCGGGGACCUGUGGUCAUCAUGCGUCCUCUUGGACCAUCGUGGCCAAAGCAUACCGAGCCGGAUUUUACUGGCCAAAGGCGAAUGAGAUGGCAAAAGAGAUAGUGGAUAAGUGUGAGGGAUGUCAGUUCUACUCGAAUAUGUCGCACAAGCCUGCGUCGGCUCUGAAGACCAUCCCACUCGUCUGGCCUUUUGCAGUAUGGGGAUUGGACAUGGUCGGUCCUUUGAGAACAGGACGAAGCGGCUUCACGCAUGUACUGGUGGCAGUCGACAAGUUCACCAAAUGGAUCGAGGCUAAACCAAUCAAGAACCUCGACACCGGUACUGCUGUUAGCUUCAUCAGGGAACUAAUAUUCAGAUAUGGAGUCCCGCACAGCAUCAUUACGGAUAAUGGGUCGAACUUUGACUCGGAGGAAUUCAGAGAUUUCUGCAACUCCCAAGGCACACGGGUCGACUACGCUUCAGUCGCCCAUCCGCAGUCGAAUGGACAAGCAGAGCGAGCUAAUGGACUAAUUCUUAAAGGAUUGAAGCCCCGACUGAUGCGUGAUCUCAAACACGCGGCUGGAGCUUGGGUCGACGAACUUCCCUCAGUGCUUUGGGGGCUGCGGACCACACCUAAUCGGUCGACCGGAAGAACUCCAUUCUUCUUGGUCUACGGAGCUGAAGCAGUCUUGCCGAGUGAUCUUCUCCACAAUGCUCCUCGAGUUGAAAUCUACAACGAAGCAGAGGCGGAACAAGCGCGGCAGGACGCAGUCGACCUUUUAGAGGAAGAAAGGGAGAUGGCUCUGAUCCGGUCGACCAUCUACCAACAAGAUUUGCGUCGUUUCCACGCCAGAAAUGUGAGAGGUCGAGCCUUCCAGGAAGGAGAUUUAGUUCUCCGAGUGGAUCAGCACAAACCACACAAGCUUGCUCCUUCUUGGGAAGGUCCCUUCAUCGUCACCAAGGUUCUCCACAAUGGGGCGUACCGUCUUUACAACGUCGAGCAUAAUAUCGACGAGCCCCGAGCUUGGAACGCGGAGCUACUCCGCCCAUUUUAUACUUAAGUUUUAUCACUCGGAUGAGUUGCAAUAAAGUACUUCUGUAGUUCAUGGACCUCAAAAUAAUAGUGUCAUAGUUCCUCCAUAAUUUCUGUCACUUUUUAUUUUUGUCCAAUAAAAUUCCCCCUCAGUGGGUGACUUAGCCGCGAAUCCGUUUCGCCUAAGUUUGUAAAAAUCCUACCGAGUGGUGAGCCAGACUCCCACUCGGAGGCUUAGCCGCGAAUCCGUUUCGCCUAAGUUUGUAAAAAUCCUACCGAGUGGUGAGCCAGACUCCCACUCGGAGGCUUAGCUGCGAAUCCGUUUCGCCUAAGUUAUCAAAAUCCUACUGAGUGGUAAGCCAGACUUCCACUCGGAGGCUUAGCUGCAGUCCAAGGACUCGCCUAAGUUUGUCAAAAUCCUUCCGAGUGGAUAGCAACCCUCUCACUCGGGGGCUUAGCUGCAGUCCAAGCACUCGCCUAAGUUUUAAAAAAUCCUACCGAGUGAAGAGCAAACCUCUCACUCGGGGGCUUAGCUGCAGUCCAAGCACUCGCCUAAGUUUUAAAAAUCCUACCGAGUGGCAAGCCAGACUUUCGCUCGGGGGCUUAGCUGCAGCCCUGUGCUCGCCUAAGUUUUAAAAAAUCCUACCGAGUGAAGAGCAAACCUCUCACUCGGGGGCUUAGCUGCAGUCCAAGCACUCGCCUAAGUUUUAAAAAUCCUACCGAGUGGCAAGCCAGACUUUCGCUCGGGGGCUUAGCUGCAGCCCUGUGCUCGCCUAAGUAGUUAAAAAUCCUACCGAGUGGAGAGCAACCCUCUCACUCGGAGGCUUAGCUGCAGUCCAAGUACUCGCCUAAGUUACAAAAAUCCUACCGAGUGGAGAGCAACCCUCUCACUCGGAGGCUUAGCUGCAGUCCAAGCACUCGCCUAAGUUACGAAAAUCCUACCGAGUGAAGAGCAAACCUCUCACUCGGAGGCUUAGCUGCAGCCCAGUGCUAGCCUAAGUUAUCAAAAUCCUACCGAGUGAAGAGUAAACCUCUCACUCGGAGGCUUAGCUGCAGCCCAGUGCUCGCCUAAGUUACAGAAAUCCUACCGAGUGGUAAGCCGGGCUUCCACUCGGAGGCUUAGCCGCAGUCCAGUACUCGCCUAAGUGGACUAAAGAAUAGGUCGAUUGCAGUAAGGGCGCCUUGCUUUGAACCUGCAAAAGACAUUUCGAGCCAAAGGCAAUCAUAUUCAAGCACCAAAUUCAAGUUUGAGUCGAUAUCUAAAGGAACCGAAAGUGCUCAGGCGUUAAGCCUGUUAAGAUUUACCGGUUACAAUUCCACUCGGCAUACCGAGGCAAAUUUAAAGCGUCGAGCCAGAAGAAAUUUUUUACCCCUCCUGUGGAGGGCUAGAAGGUGCAACGAACUCAUCAAGGUCAAUUCCGUCGGCGAUCCGAGUGGCAGCCCUAAGGAAAGUUUCCAUAAAAGACCUGAAGUCGUGUUUCUUGGUGUUGGCCACCCGAAGGGCCGCCAGCUUCUCUUCUCGCGCGUCUUUACAGUGGACUCGGGCCAGACACAGAGCAACAUCUGCACCACACCGAGCCGAGGACUUCUUCCAUUCCUGCACUCGACCAGGGAUCGUGUUCAAGCGGGCCAUCAGCGACUCAAGGUCAUUCUGAAGUGUCUCCUCAGGCCAGAGCGUCGAGUCGAUGCGAGAUGUGGCGGCCUUCAGCCUUGCGAGAUAAUCCACGACAGCUGCAACACGAGACUCCAGUCGGAAAACAUCCAUGGCAACUUCGUCGUUCACCGGAGAAUUGACGGGGUCGAGGUUUGGCUCCAGCCGGCUAGUUUCUUCUUCAAAGUUUUGACAAAAUUCUGCAAGGGUGAUCACUAAAUCAAGGGGAUGGUCGAAUGAAAAAACCACAAUUGGAAAUGUUUGCCGAGCAUAGAGGUUUACCUUCAAGCAUAAGAAACAGCUUCUUGGCAAGACCACUCAGGAAGGCCUCCAGAUCGUUUUUCUUCCCAGUCAACUUACUGACUUGGUCGGUCAGGGCAGCUUUAUUAGUUUUUAGUCGACUGACCUCCUUGUUGGCGAUCCCAAGAGCAGCUUUCAGAUUGGUAUUGUCUUGUUCAAGCUUGGUGACUGAAGCUAACUUCUCGUCAGCAAGCUUGAUCUUCUCAGCUAGUUCGAGGUCUUUCUUCUGCUUGGACUCCCUUACCUUACCUGCAAGUUACAGCAAGAUCAGAUUUUGAAACAAGCAAGGGGAAAAGCAGUCGUCAGGGUCUCACCAAACAUACCUUCGGUCUCCUCCUUUGCCUUCGUCAGCUUCUCCUGAACCAGCUUCAAGCUCAGCUCGAGUUGAGUGCGCUUGUUUUCCAGCUCAGAGUAGCGAGCCACAAGAUCACAGGAGUUCUGCGAAGAACCAAUCGACUAAAUGUCAAAUAUAAUUCACUUCCGAGUGAAAAAGGAAAAAAACACACGUUUCUAAGACUACAGCCGAAUACAAGCAUUCGACCGUAGUCUCGGGGACUACACCCAGUGGGUGCACUCAGCGUGCCCCCACUAAUCCUGUUGAAGAUAAAGUCGACCAGUCGACCUCAAAAAAAAAGAGAGAUGUAUUCUUUAAGACUGUGAUCAACUGCAAGCAGUCGACCACAGUCUCGGGGACUACACCCAGUGGGUGCACUCAGCGUGCCCCCACCGGUUUGUGAAAUCCAGUCGACAUAGUCGACUGACAGAAAAAUUGACAUCAUAAAGCCUAAGGCCGACUGCCAGCAGUCGACCUUAGCCUUGGGGACUACACCCAGCGGGUGCACUCAGCGUGCCCCCGCUAACACGGAGUUUAAUCGACACACUCGACAUAGUCGACUGACAGAAAGAUUGACAUCAUAAAGCCUAAGGCCGACUGCCAGCAGUCGACCUUAGCCUUGGGGACUACACCCAGCGGGUGCACUCAGCGUGCCCCCGCUAACACGGAGUUUAAUCGACACACCCAGUGGGUGACUACUAUAAAUUCCGGAAAGGAAAAGUUUUUGGUAGCAUAUCCAACAGAACAAACGCUGGUCGACUGACCUGAACAUUGCUUUGGAGGGCAGAACUGGCGUCAUAAGCUGCCUGGCUCGCAUCCCGGAUGGUCUUCAACUGCUCCAUCAUGAUUCCCGCCUGGCGUAUUGCCUCCUUCGCCGCGCCAGCUUGGUCCUCUGGGACGUGGUGCGUCGUGAAGAGGGAGGGCUGCUGAGCACUCGUCAAUGGAUCUGCGAAGGACACCGUGUGUCGAGUGGUGUUCUCUUCCUCCGCAAUCAGAAUCUCAGGCGCCGUCACAUCCUGGGGCACCUUGCUGGCAGACGCUUUCCUACUCCUUCUGCGUUUCAGCGGUUCCUCAUCCUCAUCAUCAUCAGGGAGAUUGAUAACAACAUUGGGUGGAGCUACGGAGAAGAAUCAGGAUCAGAGAUCGCGAGUCAGUCGACUAAGAACGGCGUUAAGAAUACAGUACCUGGUUUUGAAGUUGCUGCGUCCUCCAUCUCAUGGUCAUCAGCCCGGGCUGAGGUUUCGGAAGUAGCAGCACUGCAACUCCAAAGGAUCAGUCGACUAACUUCAGCGUCGACCAGAGACAAAGUUCACACAAAAUAAGAAGAUUCAAGCAGCACGAUUACCCUGAUAUGGUGGGGAUGUACACCUUCAUCUUCCGCAGGAGCUUGAUCGGCUUCGACGAGGCCGCCCUGGGCUGCUUCGACGCCUUUUCAGUCGGCACUGGAGAGGUGGUCCGAGGGCGUUUGGUCGACUGAGCGGCGGUCGCAACCCCCUUACCACGUUCAGUCGAAGGGUCAUGGACAAGCUUCGACCGCCUUUCCGAGCGCGGUGGUACGACCUCCUCCUCCUCUUCCUCCUCGUCUUCAACGUCAUCUUCAUCACCGUCAUCAUCAUCAUCGUCAUCAUCAUCCUCUGCAACGUAAGAGUCCCAUUCCUCCUCUUCCUGGCUCUCGCCUCCACUCGCCUCACCCUCCUCAGUCGGAGCUUGUGCCCCAUUGGGCAUCGAGUACAGCUCGAUGAGGGCCUAGCAGAUAUCAAGACAAGGAUCAAUCGACCAGUCAACAGGAUAAACAGAAAUGAAUGUGACAAGAACACAGUGGAGAGCAGAGCAAACGUACCUUGUUUGGAUCGCUGUUGUGGUCGAGUGGAGGAAUCCUUCUGGCUCCGCGUGGGUUAUCCUUGUUUCCGGUAACGGCUACCAUCCAUCUUUCCAGAGUGACAUCGUCGACUGCCUCUGGAUGGACUCGAGUCUCGUCUUCAGUCCCACAGUACAACCACAUGCAGUGGCUCCGGAACUGAAGGGGCUGGAUGCGACGCCUAAGGAAGACCUCCAGGAGAUCCAUGCCCGUCACUCCCUCCCGAACCAGCUGCACUACGCGCUCCAUCAACAUCUUCACGUCAGCUUUCUCCUCCGGAAUCAACUUCAGAGAAGAGGGCUUGUUCACUCGGUCCAUGGUAAACUGAGGGAGUCCACUCGACUGCCCCGGCGUCGACUGGUCCUGGCAGUAGAACCAAGUCGACUGCCAGCCUCUGACUGACUCGGGAAAGGUCAUGGGCGGGAAGGUGCUCUUAUUCCUCACCUGGAUGCCCAGACCCCCACACAUUUGGACGACUCGGGUCCUUUCAUCGCCUGGGCUCGCCUUCUUCACGGUCUGAGAGCGACACGUGAAUAUAUGCUUGAACAAACCCCAGUGCGGUCGACAGCCCAGGAAACCCUCACACAUAGACACGAACGCGGCAAGAUAGGCGAUAGAAUUUGGGGUAAAGUGGUGGAGCUGCGCUCCAAAGAAGUUCAAGAAGCCACGGAAGAAAAUACUCGGCGGCAAAGAAAAUCCACGAUCAACAUGGGUGGCCAAGAGCACACACUCACCCUCUUCUGGCUGGGGCUGCCACUCCUUCCCCGGAAGCCUCGCAGCUCCAUGAGGGAUCAAGCCCUCGUUGGCCAUGUCGAGGAGGUCUUUCUCUGUGAUGGUCGACUGGAUCCAGUCUCCUUGGACGCAGCCCUUCGGCAGGCGGGAUCUGGACGAGGACCCGCCGCGGCUGGUAGAUCUCCCCUUUGCCUUCUCCGACGCCGACGCCUUCUUCGCACGUUCCAGUGCCGCCGUCUUCUCCUUGGCCAUGGUUGCCGGCAAGAUGCGCGAAGGGAAGUUGUGCGGGGGCGAGAGCGAGCGCGCUGGACGGGGACGAAGGGAGCAGAGAGAGAGAGAGAAUGCUGAGGCACAGUACAAAAAUCCUCGCCGGGCGCAUUUAUAAGGUCCCUUCCGAGUGGAUGACAGGUGGGCCCGGUCGAUCUAAUCAUAUCCAGGAACAGUUAUGCAGACGGGAUACGUGGCGGAGAAAGCGCGCGGAGAUCGAGGCGUCUAUGUCCCGUCCCAUCCGAACGCCGCGGUCCGCUCUGCUUCGCGCGCGUCCCCAAAUUUCGCAUCCCGCGGAAUCCGCGAACGGCAGAUCGAUCUGUCAGACGCAGGGUUUCCCGCGAUCUGUCGCUCGGAGAUCGUCGAAGCCCGAAAGAUCACUCGACGAAAGAAGAGAAUGGAUCGAGUCGACUGGAGACAAGUUGCUCACUACCGACGAAGAGAUUCUUUGGUCCAGAACAACGCACGACCAGUGUGCAAAGGUUAAUCGGAAACAACAUCAACUCCUUCCUCACUCGAAGCCUCAAUCCAUUCGGGGGCUAAUGAUGGGGUCAUGUACCUAGGGUAGGGUCAUGGACCUGGUCUAAGUGCCUUGCCCAAGGACACCCUUAGAAGAGGUCGCCUUCCAGUCGACCAACGAGGGACUCACUCGACUGACUUAAAGGACUCGACCAUGAAGACUCACUCGACCACCAGGAGGUCAAGAGGCACUCUGCACUGCAACGGCCUAUAAUUAAGUAGGCUUUAUGAUAGUAAAGACACUUUAUAUGGGGCGUUACCAGUAACGCCCCAGACUUAACUCACCUUAAACCCUCUCCUACGUGGGCUGGCUGGGGUCCUGGCGCACUCUAUAUAAGCCACCCCCCUCCACAGGUAGAAGGGUUCGGCAUCUUGUAACUCAUAUACUCAUAAUCCACUCGACCGCCUCCGGGCUCCGAGACGUAGGGCUAUUACUUCUUCCGAGAAGGGCCUGAACUCGUACAUCUCUUGUGUUUACAACCUCUCCAUAGCUAGGACCUUGCCUCUCCAUACCUACCCCCCACUCUACUGUCAGGCUUAGAACCACGACAAUGUGUUUGAGAAUAAAACACAACACCCCAUACAAAAACUUCCUUCAAAAAGGAUGUCUGAGAUCUCGUUCAUAAAGAAGAUGAAUUCUGGUCGGAUUCGUUCUCGCGCAGAAAAUAGAUCCAAAAAGUGAUGCACUAAUCGGAAGUUUCCCGGAGCUCGGACGGUCGGAUCGAGCUGAAUUUUUGGCAGGUGGUAGAUAUGGGAAUUCCGCAGCAAAUCAACGGUUGGACCUUCCAAAGGACAUCCGAGCUAGAUGCUGGAUACCAUGCUCUAAACUUGUCCAGAUUCUCGUCCAGAUUCAACAUGGCUCCGGUAUAUCGGAGAUUGCCGGAGAUUCCUCCAUCGGAACUCGACGGAAUUUUUGCAGAGUUGUUUUAGACAUACUUCCGCAUAAUUCCACCGAAGUAAUCGUUUAGGCGACACUCGAGGAGGCGGUAGCGACGGAUACAAGUUUGCUGUCCAGAAAAACAGCACGGCCGCCUGAGGGCAAUGUUGACGUAGAGCCCCAGAACUCCAUGGAUGACUCCUCCAUGAUCUUGAUAGAGGUCGGAGUUGGUGUUGAUGAAGGCCCUCAUCCGAACAUGACGAUUGGAGGUAGGAUGCAGUCCUCGGUCAAGCCAAGGUGACCAGUCGAGCUGGUGACGAAGAAGCCGACGUCGCAGUUGACCUGCAGUCGAGCCAUUGAUCCUUUCGCCGAUCACACAGUGGAACUCUCAAUGAAAGCACCAAUGUCGGUGUCAAAACCGGCAGAUCUCGGGUAGGGGGUCCCAAGCAGUGCGUCUUAGGAUCAAUGGUAACAGGAGGCAAGGGACACAAUGUUUACCUAGGUUCGGGCCCUCUCGAUGGAGGUAAAACCCUACUCCUGCUUGAUUAAUAUUGAUGAUAGGGAUAGUACAAGAGUUGAUCUACCACGAGAUCAGAGAGGGCUAAACCCUAGAAGCUAGCCUAUGGUAUGAUUGUUGUUGUUGGAUCUAUCGACUAGUCUAGCCUCGGUUUAUAUAAUGCACCAGAGGCCUAGGAUAACAAGAGUCCUAGCCGAAUACGCCAGUGGGGAGGAGUCCUUGUCUUGAUCGCCAAGUCUUGUGGAAUCUUCCUUGUAUGCGGCAGCUGUCCAAACUGGCCCAUGAGUAUACGGCCAUGGGGGUCCUCGGCCCAAUCUAACAGAUCGGGAGAUGACGUGGUGAGUACCCCCUAGUCCAGGACACCGUCACCUUCCAUUUGCCCCUUUCCUCCCGCAAUUCUCCCUCCCAUUCUCCCUCCCGCUUGCCUACCAGCCGGCCGUCAUGCCGCCGAAGAAGUACGCCGUCCCCCGCGCCGUGGCAACUGCUACCGCCUCCGUCGCCCAGCCGAAGCAGAGGAAGCCGAGGGCGCCGCCGUCCAAGCUGCCGGGCAUGUCGAACGCCGACUGGAGGGUGGAAGUACAGCGAGGGAGGCCACGCACAGUACGCGCCCUGGGGGUCGCCGGGCUACGCUGACGGGUACGCACACGGUGGGUUCAACCCCAACGUUGCCUUCCCCAUGGCCACCCGGCCCAGUGCACGCCCUCGCCCGCCUUCGCCGGCGUGGAGUACCCUUCAUACAACUACUCACCGACGCGGCCACAGCUCGCGUGCAGGAGUACAUCCAGCACUGCCUCGCCGACGCAUAGGUCCGGGCCGCCCUUCGUGAAGAGAAGACCAAGGCGCGUUGGUCGGCAUUGAUGUUGACCAGUGCCGUCAAGCUCGACCUACUCCGGACCAACGUCGCCGCGAAGAAGAGGAACACCGACCUGGCUUUCCUGCUCGGCAGGGCGGACAUGCUCCAGAGCACCGACGAGGCGGUCAAGGCGUGGUACAGGGCGCAUGUUGGCCUCAUCCUGGACCAGCUUCCCUCGGCGACGCUGCCCACGUCCACGCCGCCCACACCCACGACGCCCACGCACACGCUGUCGCCGCCGCCAAGCCCGACCGCUGAUGAUGCCGAGAUUGCCCGCAGCACAGAAGCCUCGCCGCUAAGCACAGAGGCCCCGUCAAGCCCGCGCACGCCGACUACGGCGACACCGGAGGCCGACCUCCCCGCCUGAUGCGCGCUUCCGUCCUUUUUCUGAUGCCGAGACUGCCCCUUUUUUUGUACGNNNNNNNNNNNNNNNNNNNNNNNNNNNNNNNNNNNNNNNNNNNNNNNNNNNNNNNNNNNNNNNNNNNNNNNNNNNNNNNNNNNNNNNNNNNNNNNNNNNNNNNNNNNNNNNNNNNNNNNNNNNNNNNNNNNNNNNNNNNNNNNNNNNNNNNNNNNNNNNNNNNNNNNNNNNNNNNNNNNNNNNNNNNNNNNNNNNNNNNNNNNNNNNNNNNNNNNNNNNNNNNNNNNNNNNNNNNNNNNNNNNNNNNNNNNNNNNNNNNNNNNNNNNNNNNUGUACGCCGAACAUAACUCAUCCGGCCGCCGAUCUAGGCCGCUUGAUCGCCGGAUUGUGGCGUCUAUUUUGGGCGCGGGAACGACUAUGUUUGAAGUUUGCCGUGGCUUGGGGGGGGAGGGGGGGAGGGGGGGCUGGGGGCGUGACUGGGAGUUAGGCCGGCCCCAAGGGCCGAACUAGCGCCGGCUCGCCCCCAGGCUGCGGUUUUUCUGCGCCCUGGGGGGCCGAACGGCUGGAGAUCGAUGCUCUUAGUCACUCCCAAUCACAGCACAUCAGGUUAAUUUGCGGUUGAUGUAGACACGUUCAGAAGGAUUUUUCGUGAAAUGUACGCAACGAAGUUUUAGGGAGAACGCCCAGAUAACAGCUCACCAUGCAUAUAUUGCAACUUCAGUAUAUUUUAUAACUGAACAAAGGUUUGGCCUCUUUUAUUAUUCCACGGCAACAUGGUCGUGGUCGUGUAGUUGCUCUGCUCGUCGUCCAGGCCAGGAUCACUGUCUCAUUUCGCUGUAAGUACGUGUGUCCAGCCGAGUAAUCUAGCUAGCUCUAGCUAGUUUUUCAUGCUCGCUAAGCCUGAUUGCAGGAGUUGGUUUCUCUAGCUUCGUGCGGUCCCUAGAAUAUACUCCGCGGGCUGCAUGAGAAAGAUUGGGUCUACGCCAACGAAAUUCCAACCAAGGCCGGCGUGUCGUAGUCCUGAGACCUACCAUUCCCAAAAAUGUCGUCUAAGAAAUAUAAUGUCUGGAUUAUCCAACAAGCGAGAGAAAUGGAAAAGGACAGGGUGUGCACGCCAAAAUCCACUCCAUUUUGCACGUGUCACACAUUUGCUUUGGGUCUCGGGUAAUCACAGCUCCUUUUAUAGCUGCUCGGACCACGGGAAGUGCCGUUCUGAACCCGCCUCAUCUACGGCGUGGAAGACUUUAUGAUUCCAAUCACUAGAAAAACUAGUUAGAGUAUAGAUAUUUUCUGCAAUUUACUCUGAGUCAAUUGGCCUGUAUACCUACAUGUGCCCAACCUGCACCGAAUAGACUUGACGAAGACUUUCUAAUAGAACACAGCCAUCCGUUUCACACGGGAACCAGUACUGUGUGUCGUAACUUUUAUUUUUAUCGGCUUUAUUCAAGAGACCCCAUGUCAUCCAAUCAUAAACACACAUUCGUACCGUCAGUCUCAACAUGGCAAGAAAUAAGACAAACUAUUUUUUUUGUCACCCCUAGUGUCAUAGUAGCAGUCACAAUCACAAGUACUAGUAAUCCUUAAUGACGUGCCAUUAAAGAGGCUUAGAUUGACAUGCAUGCCGGUAAAGAUUGUGAGAAUACCAGUUACAACAUCGCCGUGGAAUCCUUAGUAUGAAAUCUCUCUGGUAAACAAGCCGAGCACCACAUCGCGUCGAUCUGCUGCGUCGGCGAGCUACCUUCUCACCUCAUUAGAUCCCUUUCCUCCUCUGAGACCCACUCACCUCGAGGCACCCGCCAUGCCUGCUUAGAACUACAGCCAACGGCUGGGGAUGAUACAAGCAGGGGCAACCAGUGACCACCGGAGUUGCCACAGCUUUCACCAGUGGCGUGAUGGCACCGAGUUGAAGACCAUGCCCUUGUGGUGGUGGGGGCAGUUUCCAGCGGUGCUACAACCGCGGGGUACUGAUGCUGCAACUGGUAGCACGAGUUGUAAGGACCGGCGUCAGAAUUUGCUACCUGGAGGCUAACAGUAAUGGAGAUGACGGGGGUCGGAAGCCGUGCUGCUACAACUAGCAUCCAACGUUGCUGGAACUGCAGCCGCCAUUUGCUACAACCGGGAAUCAUGCAACACGGGAGAGGAUGAUACCAGGUGAUGGAAUCAGCGUCACCCCGGGCGGCGGCAAAAAGCUGCAACCAUUUGUUAGUAAAGCUUCAACCUCCGGAUGAAUUUGCUGGAACCAGCUGCUGGGCAUGACACAAGCAGGGGCAAUUUUUGCUGCAAAGCCGACGAGGUAGAUUUUUUUGCUAGAAACAUGUUCUUUUUUUUUUGCCGGAACCAGUCCUAAUUUUUGCUACCUUGUUUUUUUAUUUUGCUAGAACCAUCCUCAGAAUUUGCUACCACCAUCUUUUGAUUUUGUUGGCACCAGCAAAAUUUUCGCUUCAAUCGACUACUGGAGAUUUUUGUUGAUUUAGUUGUUUCACUAUAUGUGGCCAAUUCAUUUGCUACAAUCGGCUUUUUAAAAGCUUCAACCAGAGAAUGGCGAGCUGGUGAAGGCAAGCGACGUCAAUGGGGAUGACGACGGAGAUGCAUGGGGUGAAGACGAGGGCUAUAUUAACGGGGGUGAAGAUGGAGCGGCAUCAAGGAAACAACCCGAGCAGGGGCAAUUAUGACCAACGGGGAUGAGGGCGACGAGCACACCCGGCAGCACGGGUGGCAGAGAGAGGACGUCCAAACGAGGGGGCGACCCCCGGUGGCAGGAGGACGGGCCGCCAUAGGGGCGGUGGCUGUGGCGCCCACACUGUGCGCGUGUUGUUGAUUUAACGUGGAAUGAAGAGAAAGUGGUGGGAGGAAGAUGAUGCAAUCGUAGGGUUAAUGAGGUCCAAUCAAGACACUCGCGCGGUGACAGGCGCCUAUCAGUGGCUUAAACUUCAGUCAUAUUGUCCCGUAAUGAAAAUUCGCCGGUCCGUGCUCUCUGGUCUAUUAACCAGCCAAACAUGUCGUCUACGAGGUAAAGUUGUCGCCGCCUUCACUAAGGUGUGUGCUUCGACGUUGAUGCUUCCCUUCUCGUGGACAGCUUCCACAGAAUCAAUGGACUUCAUAGGGCUCAGGAUCUCAUGAAUAAUAGCAGCCGAUGGUCUCAAAGAAACACCUCUCGGAUGAUUUACUGUAGCCAUAGCCCAUACAAUAUGUAGCGAUGAUGACCUUGUACCAAGUUAGAUCAAGAGCUAAACAUAGAACCUCGUUGAUGGCCGUUGCUUCUAGUAUCUUUGGGCCAACUAUACAUCUCAGGAAUAGAUAUAGCAGAUGCUCAACCUCCAAUGUAAUUGCCCAUCUAAUCUCGGCUAAUAGCAUCUAGGGCUCCUCAAUUCUGCCCUACGACUGACAGCAGCAUCCACAUGUAUCUUUACUACUCCUGCUGGUGGAGCUGUCCAUUUUACAUUUGGUUCAGGUUCAGGAACAUGCACACGUCCUUGUGGCCUUUUUGUCACUUGAGCAAGAUAUCCAAGAUAAUUUGUGAUAGAAGUGUAAGUUCUCAGCGGUGACUGAACUUCUCUUCAUGUAUUAUUUUCCUUUCCGCCAACCAAAUCGCCCACAAAGUAACAAGUAAUUUCACAAACUCCUCAUCCUUAAUCGAGUCCUGAAUUUCUUUCAUCCAUAACCUAGCAUCAUUAUGCCUGAAAACCACAUUUAGUCGUGUUUUUUAUCGAGUUCUUUUACAGUGCAUCUAAAUAAUCUCAGCCUUUCAUUUCACUCCAUUCAAUGGUCUAGAUCGACCAAUACUACCACACAAAAUCAGAAGUAUUUUUUGUUCAAGGGCUAAAAUUGGAAGAAACCCAAAACAAAUACCAGAAAUGUACUUGCAGAAGCCAGCAUGUUUUCUUCUCCUCUUCUGACCUGACGACAUUCAUCCAUUUUCCGGCAAAAAUGAGAUAGCCAAACUAACUUCUUUGGUUGAUUGAUCAUGUCCAAAUGCACUAGACGAGUACGUUAUCGGCCGAUUGUUCUCCGACGAUCAAACCGGCGGCUGCAGCUGCUGCACAAAAGCAAGACAGGCACGCCGGUCUAAUUUCGCCGGAACACGUCAAAUGAUGCGUCCUAGUAAUGCUAAGAGCAUCUCCAGCCGUUGGCCCCCCGGGGGCGCGUAAAAGCGCUGCCUGAGGCCGAGCCAGUGCAAAAAUCGGCCUGGGGGAAGUGGGUUGCUAGUCGCCCACCCCAGGGGCCGCCCCCAGUCGCCGCCAAAGUUUAAAAUAAAAUAAAAAUAUUUGGCAAAGUUCCGCUGAACUCGGCUAAAAUUCGGCAAACUUGGCAUAUAUUAGACAUGUUAGACAAGUUACAUAGCUAAUUUAAUUGAAAAAGGCCGAAACUACAACUAAGGGGCGAAGAAGUCGCUGAACGCGGCGUAGUCGUCGCCGUCGGCGGUGGCGGCCGCCUUCUCCUCCUUGACGCGGCCGCCCAGCUGGAACUCUGCCCGGCGUCGCCAUGGCGAGCCGGUGGCGGUGGCGGAGCGUCAUCGCCGUCGCUGUUGUCAAGGACGAUGCCGCCUCCUUCGUCGCAGCCCCGGCGGCGCUGUUCGUAGGCGCUGCAUGGCGGCGCACUGGCACUCCAUCUCCAUCUUGAGAUAGUCCUUGCACGCCCAUUUCAGGGCCGCCUCCUCGUCGAGCUCCACGUCGCCGUGCUUCGUCUUCACAGCGGGGAGCCCCGGCUCCGUCUUUGGUUUGACGAAGCGCGGAGGAGCCGCCGAGGAGGCGCGCCGGCCGCCCUCAUUUAUGACGAUGCCGGCGCUGCGACUGCGCUGGCCGAGCGGCGUCUCCGCUGCGGGCUCGGCCUUGAUGCUGAGCAACGCCGGCGAGCCGGAGGAGUGAGAAGAAGAACGGGAGGAGGAGUGCGAGGAGGAGGAAGUCGAGAAGGUGCCGAACCUCCUGGGCAUCCAUUGCCCGCCGCGCUGGUGGUGGACCGUGGCGGCCACCGUGGGAGGGUAUGCCAGCGGCGGUUCGUUGCCGCCCUCGAGGUAAGACAACAUGCCGCCGAGCGUGCGGCCGGGGCGCCCCACCACACGCGGCGCCCCUUGCUGUUCUUGACGCCGCUCUCCACCGGCGUCCCGUUGGUGGACGCCAGCCUCUGCUCCUGGCGGCGCUAGAAGUACGACACCCACGCCGUGUGGUUGUGGGCGGUGUACUGGGGAAUUUUGCUUGAGCAUGAAGUGACACAUUUCACUGUUUGACUUUGAAACUAUUGUUUUAAAAAACAAUAAUUAUUUAGUAACACUAAUAUUUCUUGAAUAAUUAGUUUGACCAUUGUUUGACCCAAGUUUGACCAGAUUUGACCAAAAUUCAAAAUAACUGAAAUAAUUAUUUAGUAACACUAAUAUUCUAGAAUAAUUAGUUUAACCAUUGUUUGACCACAGUUUGAAUUUUUUUGAUUUUUUCCACUCUAGAUCUUAAAAGCCCCGUAACUUAUUUUCUGUUAGGUUUUUGAGGAUUUUGAAAAUGUUUAACGGGGUUCCCACGGGAGAGGGAGAGCUCGGCGGCGGUCAAUGGGCGGCUAGGGCCGUUUUUUCGGCGCCGACGUAAAAAAAUCGCCUGGGGAAGCCGUGUUGGGGGCGCGGCUAGAGAUUCUCUAAGUUGCCUAUAGAGGAAGCGGAACUCCUAGCAGACAUGAGCUAUCGUCUCGCGAUGUACUCAUGCUUCAGCCACUACUGGAAAAGUACUUAUAGGUGAACCCAAAUGAGUGACAGGCGAUGUCAGACACCCGCCACAGCUAUUUUGAAAAACUAGCAAUGGCGGGUGCUAAAAAGCGCUCGCCACAGCUGCGUAACAGUGCCGGGCAGGCCAGAGGACCCACCACAUAUGUACGUUUCUAAUUUCUUCAUGGCCGAGAAGUAGCUCUGGCGAACAAAAGAUCCUGCCCGUUACUGGUCCUGCCCCCAGCAGUGGCGAGCAACCAUAAGCGACCACCACAGCUAUAUUUCGGUACCCACGCGCCAAACUAUUUUACAAAAUUUCAGAGUGUGCGGUGCCGGGCACUGUCAUGCGCCCACCACAUCUAUAUUUGGUCACACUGUUGCCUACCACGCAUAUAUAGCAGUGGCGGGCUCUACUCGGCGCCCGACGCUACUAUACAUGACAUUAUCGACCACAUCCCCAGCCGCAUUACUUAGGGUCUAAUUUCAAACAUAAACAUCUCAUUCUCCCCUAUGUCUCGCCGUCGAAAGCAUUGUGGCGUCUUUCGUCGCCACAGGCGAGGUCGCCGUCCGCCGCCUCGAAUGACCCCAAGGACCCAAUCUUCCCCGUCGCCUGCGACGUCCGUCCCCGCCUCAAAGUUUAUCGGCGUUGCCAGGCAAUGCUAGCUCCAUAUACUUCACCGUGAUCGUCGCCCGCGCUUUCCUCCGCAUCCAACGUUGUCCUCAUCUCCGUCGAACUCGCCGUCCGCCGAAGCCUCUUCCAUCAACCUUGGCCUCGUCCUACCCGCCAUCCGACUCUGGCCCGCUAAGCACACCUCCCUUCUCUCUGUUAAUGAUGAUUUUAGUUGUUCUCAUUAUCAUAUUUGUAGAUCUGCAACAGUUUAUUGGUGUUGUUAAAAAAAUUUAUAUGAUGUACCAUUGAAUCUGAGUAAGUAGACAUCUUAAAUUUGAGAUUUUACACUUUCUCAUUGUUGUACUUGUAGAUCUGCAAUAUUUUGUUAGUGUAGUCAAAAUUUGUUAUAGGAUGUACCACUGAAUCUUCAUAAGUAGACAACAUCUUAAAUUUGAAUGGGUGUCUAGAGGACUAUGUACUACAUAUGGAUGAAUAUAUAGUACAAUAUCAUUUUUAUGAAGCAAGUAUUCAUAAUAACUGCUAAUGUUUCCACGAAGCAUGGAUUAUGUUCCGUUUCUCUUAAUUUCUGGCACUAAAUAUAUCUAAUUUCCAUCAAAGGUCAUACCAAUUUUUUCUGUAUUUUUUUUAUGGAUUAGAUAAGCACGAAGACAUCUAAAUGUUUUAUCUAAAUGUCAACUUGUUUAAUGCAAUUUAGAUGGAGACGCCAAGACGCGUCGCCAGGACUCCUACACCCAUAGACGGAAUUCCUACUGCCGUAGACAUCAUCACGAGGGUGGCCCAGUACACGGAGAUCGUGCUCGCCUAUGUCGAGAGUGCUCGAGCAGCCACCUUGAGUGCUCAGUCAUAUUCCGAGAACGUCAGAACAGCCGCCGAGAGCGCCAGAGCAGGCAUUGAAGGUGCGGGAGCAGCCGCCGAGAGUGCAUGAGGAACCUUCAAAGCUGCGAGGACCGCCCAAGCCGAGAUCACGAAGAUGAUGUAAGUUGAGGAUAUCUCAUGAUGGAGCUGAACUUUUACUUCUGAACAACUAGUGCACUGCCUGCAUGUGAUCUAUAUGAUUGAUGCAUGUGAACUUAAAUUCUAAGUCGCUAAGAUUGAGCUAAAUUUUUUGCCUUCGAACUACUAGUGACUUGCAGCAUGAUCAUUAGUAUCAUCUAUGAUGCUAUGAAUAUUAUUAUAUGACUUUGCUCUGUGAUUGAAUAACUAUGAAAUUGACCUGUUAGCUUAUUUAUAUAUUUAACUAUGAAUUGAAACUGGUAUAUGGUGUACACCAGGAGGAAUCCAGAAGUUUAUGAUUCAUGGGAGAUAUGCAAGGAGCAAGUACAUGGUUACCCGAACAACGGCUAUAAAGGAUAUAUGACUAAAAAAGAAGAAGAGGAUCGUUACACCAACUACAUCCUAUAUAGCUCUAUUAUAUAUUACUAAAAAAACGCAAAGUAAAACGAAGCAGAGGAAUGUUACACCAACUACAAAGCCACUAAAAAAAAACUACAUCCGCAAAGAGAAAAUCAACUCUGAAGUAUGCAAGACCCUGUGGACAAGUGAACGAGUAAAGAAUUUGAUUAUCUUUAUCCAGUUCAUUAUCAAUAUUGUGGUGUUGUUAUCAUGAGUUCUUGUAUGUAUGUAACAUGUGGAAUUCUUCACUCAGAAGGGUAGAUAGGGGAGGAAGUGGAAGGUAGGAUCGGUAUGCAGUCCACGACCACGAGUGACCCGUCUU